AAAGCGUUUUCGGAAUUAGGGUUUCAAUCGGGUACUCAAGUGAAAAAUUAUGACCGUUUAAAGAUUUCUCGCGCCAAUUGUAAAAUUUAGCCAAACUCAAUGAAAUUUUCGGCUCAAUUUGGUUGUUGAGUCGCAUAUUUCCAAGAACUCUAACGCCAAAUUGGCCGCAUCAAUGCACUAUUUCAGGAGGAAAUUAGAAUUGUUGUUCCAAAAUUGUUCUUAUGGAACAAUUAGUAUGAUCACCUCUCAAAACUAAACCUAAUUGGUUACUUCCAAUUACGUAAAUCAAUAGUAGGAUAAGCAAAGCUAUCUACCUAUUACCGCAAAAAUUAAUGAGUUGAAUGAUCUAAACAUAUACUAAGGAACAGAUGUAAUUAAUAUCAUCUAGAUCGGUAAAUGUUUAAUUUUUUGUUUAUAUUCUUCGAUACUUUUUCUCGUAACUAAGCCAUAAGAUCAAACAAAUAUGAACUUUAGAUCCUUGUUUAGGUGAUAAUACAUAGCACGCCUUUUAGUUUAAGGUUCUAAAAACUACAUUAGUUUAACUCUAAAUUUAUGCUAAACCCAAAGGACAUAAAAUAUCCAUAUCUUGGACAUAUCAUUGAUCAAUUUAUUGGAUUAAAAGUAGCUCACUUUUCUAUUUUGAGGAAUAUUAAUUAAUUGCAUUAAUUAAAGUAGCAAAUCUCACUACUCAUCAUUGAAUCCAUAAUUAAUUUGUACACUUCUUGCUUAUAGUGAGAUCAACUUACAUACUACACAGUAAUAAUAAGAAACAAAGAGGAUCCAAACAUCUAAAGAGACCGUCGAUACAAAAUACUCGAAAGGGCGGGCAGCUGAUUUUUUUUUUUUUUAUUGACAAAGUAGAUGCAUUGAAUCUGAUCAAAUUUGUAGUGGAGAGAAUGAUGGAGGUCAGCUUACUUGGAGCUGGCGAAUUCGUAGAGUUUGCCGGCGGUGGAGAAGAUGACAAGGGCGACCUCGGCGUCGCAGAGGACGGACAGCUCGAAGGCCUUCUUCAGCAGGCCGUUCCGCCGCUUUGAGAACGUCACCUGCCGGCUCGCCGUGUUCUCGAUCCGAUCAAACCCCCCCUUUCCUCUCUCUCUCUCUCUCUCUCUCUCUCUCUCUACAAGAUGCUCUCUUUCUCUCUCUACAAGAUGCUCUCUCUCCUUGUAGGGCAAAGGAGAUACUAAAAAGGGCAUCUACUAGAGUACUAUUGUAGGAGGAGUAGAUACAUAGUAAUUGACAUAAAUGGAAAGAGAGUAGAGCCAAGGAGCUCACCACAAAUGGCAAAAGAGAACAAGCCAGGGGACAAUGAGAGCGAAUUUAGAGGAAUUAAUGGGAUUCAUCAUUCAUCAUUCACGACAGAAAUAAAAAAUAAAAAAAAAAAGAAUUGAUUAUGGUAAAAUAGAAAAAAUAUUAAGUAGAACGCUGUUAAGUGUAGUAGAGCUACUAUACUAUAGAAAGUAUAGAAAAUUUGGUGUUUUUGAUUUUUUGACACUUUGAUUAAAAUUGUACGAUUAUGAUGAUUGCAGUUCCUCUAGGGUUAAGUAGUACUCCUAGAGUUGAGUGGUCUCCACAGAAUAAUAGUAUUAAUCUAAAGAUUAAAAAUGAUUAAAGAUACAGAUUUAAUGACCAAAAAUUCAAAAGUACCAGAUUCUCUAUGCUUCUGAUAGUAUAGUAACUCAACUCAACUUUUAAACUAUUGGAUUGUCCGCGAAAAAAAAAAUCCCAACUUUGUUUUUUUUUUUUUUUUUUGCUGGAUGCAAAAAAAUUAUAUAUAAAUAUUUUUUAUCUGAUUUUUUAAAAUAUAUAUUUAUAUUUGCUCUCUUAAAAUUUUAGAAUAUCUUUAGUAAUUUUCUAGUGGUCGAAAUAACUAAAUUAUUAUAUUUUAUAAAAACCAAAUUUUUUAAUGUAUAAUUAUAAGAAUUACGAAAUAAUAUGAAAGAGGAAUAUAGGAUUUAAAAGUCAGAGAAAAAAUAAAAAAAAUGGAUAUUAGGACUACCCCACACUUGGCUGACUAUUGGAUACAUUUGUUGACAAAUUUUUUUUUUCUUUUAUUUUCGUUUUUUUUUUUUUUUCAAAGCUCAAAUAUGCCAAAGGGCAAGAGUAAUACUAACAUGUACACUUUUUUUUUGAAUGUACACAUGGAAUUUCUAUUUCUACUAGCAAUAUACCCACGCUUUGCAGCGGGUGUAAUUUUUAAUUUUACAAUUAUUAUGUUAUACAUUAUUAAAAGGCAUUUAAUAGAGUCAAAUAAAAAUACUAAUUUAUAUAUAUAUUCCUUAUUUGGAGAGAGAGAAGAGAAUAUUAAAUGAAAGUUAAAGUUUUAGUGAGAGCACUUUCAAACUUUCAAAUAUAGUAUAUUUUACUCAUAAUUUAAAAUAUUAAAAAUUAAAAAAAUUUUAGAAAUGUAUAAUUAUUAAAUUCAAGUUUAAAAUUAUUUUAAUAUUCAUAUCUUUUGUUUGAAAAAAGAGAAAAAAAAGAACAUUAAAUUAAAAAUUAAACUAUGGGACAGAGGAAAUUAAGCGGCAUGCGCAUCGAACUAAAAAAAUCAUCUUGUGUUCGGCUUAUUUAUUAACAAGUUGACUAGAUAAAUAGUUGAAAGAAAAUUAAAAAAGAAAUAUAGAAUAUCAAUUUAAUAAUUGAAAUUUAUAUAAUAUAGGUCUCUUUACAUUUGAGUUGGCCUAAAAAUCAAAUAGCUAAUAGGAAUUUGUAAUAUAUAUACACAUACACGAGCUAUAUCGAGCCGAAUACGAACUAACUUACGAACAAUGAGCUAUAUUGCCUAUCCUAGUUGACAUAACCUUUUUGAAAUUUUUGUAAUAAUUUUAAAAUAAAAUUAAUGAGAUAAAUUACUAUAACAAAAUAUGUUUUAGACAAUACUUUUUAGACGACGCUUUAUUCUAGCAUUUUUAAUAUUAGGCAUGUGCCGACAUCACAAUUAAAUGUCGCCAAUAAACAUAUUUUUAUCAAAUAUUGAUAAAAAUUUUCCGACGCUAUAUUAAAAUAUCAGUAUAUUUAUCCCGUCAAGUUUACAUGAGUGGAUGUUUUACACGUAUGUAUAGGAUGCAUGAAUAGCAUUGCUCCGUGCAUAUAUACAUGGAGGUAAUAUUGUUUGCAAUAAUGCGUUAAUUGUGCUACUCUUUUUUUCCUAACUUUUAUCACAUAAUUUAAUAUGCUUUUCUCCUCAAAUUAGUUAUUAAUUGAACAAUCAUUUUGAUCACGUAUUUUUCACAUAAUAUCAUAUAAGUCAAAACAUAAAAAAUUUAAUUUUCUCUGAUAGUUAUGAUAAUUAGGCAAUAAAAUUGUAGAAUAAAAUGAAUCUUCAAUUUUUUACUGCUUUUAUGUGUUAUAAUUAAAAAAAAAAAUUUAAUUUUAGGAUUUACAAGAGAUUAUAUACAAUAUAAAUGACCAAAACUGCUCAUUAAUAGGAUUGAAAUUGGUGUAAAUAUCAUAUCUUAAUUAUUCUGUUAUCAAAUGCAACAUAAGAGAAGCAUCCUUUUAGCUACCGUUUGGUUCGGGGUUAAGGAAAAACUAGUUAUUUCAGGAAUAGGGUUAAGUUCAGGGUUAAGGUGGAGCUAAAGUAUUUUUGUGUUUGGUUGAGAAUUGGAGUUAGUCCAGGAUUAAAGAAAACAGUGUUUGGUUGGAGUAGGCGGGAUAAGAAAGAUAAUGGGUAAAAUAAUGUUUUGUUUGGUUAGAGUAGUGGGGUGGUGUAGGGUUUGCUGGGGUUAGCUAACCCCACCCCAAAUGGGCUAUCCCAGGUUAGUAUUUUUUUGAUAAAAAUAUACCAAACUUCAAUAAAUUAUUUUGAAUUAACUAUCCAAUCUUUCAAAAUUUUAAUUUUACUAUGCACCCUUUCAAUUUGUUUAAUAUGAAUUAGUCAACGGUAUUUUGAUUUUAAAAUUUAUAUUUGUUUAUCAUUAUAGAUUUAGUUCGUACACUUCAUACAAUUCUCGUAAUUAUAAAUUUAUUAAAAUAAGUAAUUAGCCUAAUUUCAAGUCAAAGUAAUGUUGACCAGCUCGAAUCAAAUAAAUAAAAGGUCGAAAAGUAAAAUCAAAUUUUUGAAAGGUUAGAUAAUUAAUUCAAAUGGUCUAUAGUUGAGCUAAGUUUGUAACUUUUUUUUUUUUGCUCAAAUACAAAAAAAAACUCUUCUAUAAACACUUUUUUUUUGUCUCCCAAAUUUUUAAAAAUCUAUUAUUUAUCCUUUUAAAAUUUCAAUUUAAUGCAUUUAGCUCCUUUCCGUAAAAAAUUUCCUCACCAAUUUCAUCCUUUUUUGUAAUUUACAUCGAAAAUGUAAUUGAAAAUGACACAAAUAUAUUUACAAUUAUUUUUUUUAUAAAACAAGUAAGAGUGAUCUGGUCAUUUUUCCAUUAAAGUCGUAAUUUUUUUAAAAUACUUUUCAAAUUAAAAAAAAAACAAAAUAUAAGUUUUUAGAAGAUCAACGUCGUAAUAUUUUGAAAAUAUUUUUAAAAUUCUAAAGAGACAAAAUAUAAGUUUUUAAAGAAAAAGCAAGUAUUUAUAUAGUGGGAAUUUUCUAUAUUUUAUUCUUAUUUCUUUUACAGCGGUGCAUGGGUGCUCUGACACGCCCGGUCCAGGCGAUAAUUUCCAAAUUCAUCGAAAAGUUUGUACGUACCUUCCGUACGAUCGUUCCCACCACCCACAUGUGGACACGUGGUUACGCCUCGACUCGACAUUCGCGGUGUGGGGACCACCGUGGCAGAGGAAGGACACGCAUUCACGUGGUGGGCCCCACCCCCACACCCACGAAAAAUUCUAGAAUGCAACGGGUAUAUUAGUGACGUGGCGUAACAAACCAAUCAAAUUAAUCCUUUUAAGAAUAUAUGUCCCAUCAUGAUUAUAAAAAAGUAUUUUUACUGUACUUUUGUUUAAAAAGAAGGAAUGUGAUUGGCUUGUUAUUGAUGACGUGGUGCAAGUGUGACAGUGUAGAAUUCCUCCACACCCACACCACCCACCCCUUUUUAUUAACCUUCAAAAUCAGGAGAAAAAAAAAAAGAAAAAAAAAGACUAUUUUAAACCCUACAUUAAUAAUUAAUUGGAUAACCUGCAGGUGAAUCAUUGUAUUUGUAGAUUAUAUAAAUAUGAAAAAUAAUUUUAGAAUAAAUUUUAAAUACAAUUUUUAUAAUAUCACUUUUUUUAUUUUAAUUAAUAGAUUAAGUACUAGUUCUAAUUGAAAUUUGAAUUAUGGACAUAGCACUAUGGACUUAAUCAAUUUGCAUUUUAUCUUAUUUUCUUCUUCUUCUUUUUUUUUCCUAUUUUGUCAUUUAUAUAUGUGAUAUGUGAUGGGCGCGCAUAAUACGCUGUAAUUUAAAAUGUAUCAAGUUAAUACCUUGUAAUUUUAUUUUUCUCUUUUUCGUCAGCUCCUCCUUUAAUAUUUUGCUAAAUUAUAUACAAAAAAAAACUUCCCCAGCUAGGUGUAUAAAUUGGUGUAUGUAGAUUUAACAAUCUCUCCUCACAACUGUGGGUAGCCGCGGGUUACUCACAAAUAUAUGGGUAUGAGUAUUAAUUUUUCUUACUCAAAAAAUUAUAAGUAAAACAGGUGGGUACUCGUUAAGUGGUGGAUAUUUGAACAACUUGCGGAUACCUACGGAUACUUGCAUAUAUAUUUUUUUAAUUAAAAAAUAUAAUAUCUUUAUUAUAUUGACUCUGUAAUGAUAAAAAAAUUAUUAAUUUUGUGUCAUAAAAAUUUAGGAUGAUAAAAUAUUUUUAUAUUAUAUAAUUUAUGCACUUUAAAAUUUUAUAUUGUUUAUUGUAUAUUAUGAUAUUUCAAACAAAAAUUUAUAUUCUAUAUUUAAAAAUUUUAUGUAUAUUUUUUACUUCUAAAAAGUAUAGGAGUAAAAAAUAAAAUAAAGGGCUUUUUUUGCAAAUAGCCCCCUAAUAAAAAAAAAAUUUAAAAUUGGCCCUAUCAAAAAUUUAUUUGCAAAAAUGGCCCUGCCCCUGCCACGCAAGCGCCACGUCAGCACUACGCGGGCGGGGCAAGAGUUUAAGUUAAACACGAUGAACCAUUCAUCAUGUUCAAACACGGUGAAUGGUUCACCGUGUCCAAUACAAAUAUCCCCACUUAGCCAAAAAUGACUAAGUCGAGUUAGUUGUAUUGGACACGGUGAAUCAUUCACCGUGUCCAAUACUAAUACAGCCUUAGCCAAAAAAUGGCUAAGUCCUAGGUAGUUGUAUUGGACACGGUGAAUGAUUCACCGUAUCCAAUACAACUAACUCCACUUAGCCAUUUUUUAGCUAAGUGGGGAUAUUUGUAUUAGACACAAUAAAUCAUUCAUCGUGUUUGAACACGGUGAAUUAUUCACUGUGUUCAACUUAAACACCUGGCCCCAGGCCCACCCGCGUGGCGCUGACGUAGCGCUUGCGUGGCAAGGGCAGGGCCAUUUUUGCAAAUAAAUUUUUGACAGGACUAAUUUUAAAAUAAGAUUUUGUCAUGAGGCUAUUUACAAAAAAAAAAAAAAAAACCUAAAAUAAAAUCUUGCGGGUAGCCCGCUUAACCGCCCGCCCGCCCGCCCGUAGAUAUGAGUAAAAAUGUUGACAAUCGAAAAAUUAAUAAAUAAAAAUUUGGAAAAACUUCAAAUACUAUCCCUAUGGUUUCGCACUUUCUUACUUUAGUACCAUAUGGCUUAAAGUAUAUAAAUUUAGCAUCCUAUGAUUUCAUUUUCCUCUUUAGAUAAACUUCAUAUGCCACCCCGUGGUUUCGCGCGCUCUCACUUUAGCACCCUGUGGUUUAAAAUUUACCAAGUUAGUGUCCUGUGGUUUUAUUUUUAUCUUUUCGUCAGCUUUUUCGUUAAUAUUUUAUUAAAUUAUAUACAAAAAAUUUCAAAUACCUGACCUAAAUUUUUCGAAUAUUCACAUUAAUACCCUUUAGUUUUAACUUUGUUACUGAUUUAACGAAAAAAAUUAGUGGAAUCUAUAAUAAAAAGAUAAAAAUGAAACCGCAGGGCACUAAAUUGAUAUAUUUUAAGCCACAGGUUACUAAAAUGAGAAAGUGUGAAACCAAAAGGGUGGAAUUUAAAAUUUUUUCUAAUAACAAUAUGACAAUCGGUGAAUUGACAAAAAUUAUUGAAAAAACUUCAAAAAACCCUCAGUGGUUUCGCACUUUUUCAUUUUAGUAUCCUGUGCUUUUAUUUUUGUAUUAUGUUAGUACCAUGUGCUUUUAUUUUUAUAUCAAGUUAGUACUCUGUGAUUUUAUUUUUCUCUUAAUGAAAUAUUAAACCACAGGAUACUAAAGUGAAAAUGUGUGAAACCACAUGGUACUAACUUAAUACACUUUAAACCACACGGUACUAAAGUGAGAAAGUUCGAAACCAUAUGGUACUAACUUGAUACACUUUAAAUUAUAGGGUACUAAAGUGAGAAAGAGUGAAACCACGUGGGGGUUUUGAAGUUUUUACAAAAUUAUUCUAUAGCAAUGUACGGCCAUCGUCGCAUUCCAGACUUUGCUGGGUGUUGGGCAUACGAUUUUGAGUCAAUUUGAGAGUUCGCUGUCUGCCGCCCAGCGUCCACAAAUUCGAGUGGGGUGGGGCCCACCGGCAUGACGAUGUUAGGUUUUGCCGACUUCGGACAAGCGUGCCGGUUUUUUUCGUCGGCAGUCCGCCAAGAACUUUCUGUUGGAACAAAUGCCGCACAUAAAUCUAAUUAUAAUUUAAAUUUAGCUAAAUUUUUUUAUGAAAAUAAAUAAAUCAACUUACAGAUGAUCGCUAAAUCUAAAUAAAUACUUAAUUGAUCCGAAAGCGUGCGAUGCAUUACCCUAAGACGUAUUUCCGUCCUUACGUGCAGGAUUAACCGGAAACACCGUCCCAAGGUACGACCGGAAUUCUUCCUCCUACGAGCACGAACGCGGAAGAGGUUGACGGAGACUCUUUCAACACCCCACGAUAAAAAAAUGAAAAACCAAGUAAAUCAAAACUAUAAAAGAAAAUAUAUAACUCUCCAAAAUUUCUCUCUGCCAUGUUCUACUAUAAUGAACAGUAGACAGGAGGCAGUAUAAAUGGGAUGUAAAUGGAUCGUUGGAGGCCCCCCAACGUUCUACUCAUUAAUCCCAUUUAAUUCCAUACGUUUUCACCUAUUAAUUAAAAUAAUAAAUAAUAAUAAAAAUAUUGAUAAAAGAGAAUAAAAGAAUUAAUAAAUAAAAAAUAAAAUAAUAAUAAUAAUAAUUAAGAAAAUUGAAUAGUAAUAAUAAUGAUUAAGGGAUUUUGAAUUUUCCUCCAACACUUUCCUUGUUUUAUGCAAAAGAGAAGGAAAAAAACGCUUUUGGGGGGACCCACAGUGGGUAGGGUUGCAAAUGGAGGAUUGGCGGGAGAUUCCGUCCUGAUCCGUUCCGAAUGAGACAGCAAAUAAGAACAAAACAAAGGAUGGGGGUAAAAAAUGGAAUGAAUUUUAUGACUUAAAAGACGGAUUUGGAAUAGAAAAAACAUGAAAAAUCUUGACCCGCGCUGAAUAUACUCCGCCGUGAUCGGCCUCAAAAGUGUUUACAUUUUUAAAAAGAGUUAAUUGCAUAUAGCUCUCUAUACAUAUCGAAUAAUAAAUAUAUUCAUACAAAGGUUUUCCUGCACAAGUUCAAACUUUUUUAAAUAUACCUCUACGGUUAAAAUCUAUUAAAAAAAAUAUAGUUAAUCAUAAAUAAAAUAAUUAAUAUUGGUUAGCGAGUGAGGUAAAUUGACCUUUUUACCCCUCUUAUAUUAUUUGUGACGAUAGAAAAAAAGAAAAUGAACAUUAGAGAUUUUGGAAGAAUAUUUCUGUAUAAUGUUAAUAGUUGGGACUUUUGAAAGGACAUUUUUGUGAUGGCAAAAAUAUUAUUUCGCUAAUUUUUUUAAAAAUUAAAUAAUGUCCUAACGGUAACAAACUAGAGAGGCGAAUAUGAAUAUUACUGGACUUUUGUAGGAACAAAUAUAAAAGUUAAACAGCCAAUCGAAAUGUAUUAAAAAUUUAAUUUUAUUUUUUUAUUUAUUGCAUUUGACGCGGAUCGGAUUAGAUCAAAGAGAAAAAAAAAAAAAAAAAAAAAAAAAGGGGUCCCACACGUCUCCCUCUAUUUUUCCUAACAGGUCAGGGCAUAUUCAGAACAAAUUAUCUUUUCGCCCACUUUUGGCCUCUGGGCCAAUCUGAGCAAGAGUGGAUCCAUUUGCAUCUCUAUUCUACUUCUAUAUUUUUAGAAGGCGGAGAUCUUCGUACUAUACAAUCGUUUUUAUAUUGAAUCGAUGAUGAUCGAUAUUAUUAAAUUUUAUUUUGAGAGAAAGACAUUAUUAAAGUAGAUCUAGAAUAUUAUUUGAAGUGCCCAAGACUGGAUUUUAUAAUUUCUAAAAAUUAUUAAUUACUUAGUGAUUAAAGAGCCUCAAAAUAAAUAUUCUUUGAUGGCUCAUAUGAGUCUUCUCGUUUAAUGAGGUAAAACAAUUCGUCCCAAAUCUGUCCCGCCAUGAUCUGACACUACAACAAAAAUGGUCUAUAGCGACACUUUUAAAUGUAGGUACAUGUCAAAAAAGUGCUGCUAGCUAAAAUUACCGACACUUUUAAAAAGUGUUGCUAUAUGUGGGGUCGCUAGGUAUAUAGUGACAGUUAAAGAGUGUCGCUAUAAUCUAAAAGAGUGCUGCUAAUUUACCAACAACUUAUUUAAGCAUUUAGCAACCGCCGAAACUCUAUCUCGUUGGCUGCGGUGGCGGAGGAGGACGACAGGAAUGGCUCUUCGUCUAGAAUUUCAGUAGAUUGAGUGAAGAGAGAAAAAAAUAUGGUAAUUGAUUUUUCUUUUUUUUUUCUUUUCUGUUUGUAAUCGGGCCAAAUGGACUGGAUGUGGUGGGUUGAGUAGAGUAAUCUUUUAUUUUUGGUUGGAUUGAGAUUUAUAUUUAGGCAUUAGUAGAUGUUUCUUUAAGUUUUAGUAUAAAUGGGACACUUACUCAAAAGUGUCCCAAACAUGUGUCCCUAUAACCUAAUUCUGUUGUAGUGUGAUCUGAAUCCGCCUCAAAAAUAUGUAUAUUUUUAAAAAGAAUUAAUUGCAUACAGCUCCCUAUAAACAUAUCGAAUAGCGGAUAUAUCCAUACAAAGUUUAACUUUUCAUAUUUAUCUUCCAAUCUGUUCCAAAUGAGACAGAGACAACAAAUAAAAAAAAAAAAAAAAAAAAAAAAAACAAAUGGACUGGGAGUAGAAAAUGGGGCAAGUUUAACGACCUGAGACAGAUUCGGAAUAGAAAACACGAAAAAUCUUCACCUGCGGCGAAUCUGCUCCGCCAUGAUCCGCCUAAAAAAUAUUUAUAUUUUUAAAAAGAGUUGAUUAAUUGAAUACAGCUCUCUGUAAACAUAUCGAAUAGCAAACAUAUUCAUACAAAAUUUUUCCAGCAAAAGUUUAAACAUUUUCAAAUAAACUCGUCUAUUGUUAGGAUUCGUUAAAAAAAUAUAGUUAACCAUAUAUAAAAUACUUAAUAUUGGUUAGUGAAUGAGGUAAUUGACAUUUUUAGCCCUCUUAUAUUAUUUAUGACAGUAAAAAGAAAGAAUAUGAUCAUUAGAGAUUCUUGAAAGGCAUUUCUAUAUAAUUCUAAUAGUUAGGACUUUUGGAGAAACAUUUUUAUGAUAUCAAAAAUAUCAUUUAACUAAAUUUUUAUUAAAAAAUAAACAGUAGUGCUCUAAAUUGUAAGAGCACAUUAUCAUGUCAUGCAUACACAAGAAGUGCUUUAAAAUGCUAUUAAUUGGACAACUAGUAAAAAAUAAAUAAAUUACAAAACCAUCAUGUUGUAUAUAUUAUUACAACUCUCUUAAUUCCCGCGAAUUCAUCAUGUUCAUAAAAGUCAUUAGCUUAAUCACACCACACCACUUAAAUGAGUAACUUGAUAUCGUCAAACCAUCGACUCUGAUACCAUUUCUUCGGAAGUUCUAAUCUAACCUAGUCGCACACAAAUCUCAUUUGAUCUAAAAGCUCGAGUCUCUUAGAUCUAAACCGAUUUUAAUAUAUAUAUCAAUCUUUUGCUCUUUUAUUAAUUAUCCGAUGUGGGACUAUGUACAUGUAAACUCUUAACAUAUUUGAACCAUUUCUCAACUAAUUUCCAUCGUAUCGAUCUUAAUUUUGAAUUAACACGAUGUUAGAGUGUGUCCUAAACUCCCCAAUUUCCAAAUUGUUCUGAAGCAUUUUCUAUUUGGUCAUAACUUUACAACAGAUGUGUUCUACAAAAACAAAUGAGAGAGAGAGAGAGAUUAACACCUUAGAUAUGCUGUGAAAUAUGAGCCAAUUAUCAGAGGAAAACAAAAGGAUCAGGACAUGAUAGAUGCACCACAUUCAUACAACUGUAGUUAACAUUGUAUAUAAUUGUGAAUCCUUAGUCCCAAAGUGAAGUGAUUAAUUAUAUAUAAGGGCUAGCUCAUCACUUUAUGCAAAAUGUAGAAGCAAAAAAAGAGAGAAUUAAAGAGAGAUCAAGAGAAUUAACAUGAUCCAACUAUAGAAAACAUAAGACAACAUCGAUCGAUCGAAAUCGGUCGAUCGAUCGAUCGAUCGGUUUUUUUUGUUUGAUUUUUUUAAAAAAAUUUUAACUAAAUUUGUUUAGAAGAAGUUGGAGUCGCCCUCGUAGGUGAGGCCGACGCUCCAGCCAGCGUCGGCGACGUUGUAGAGGAUUAGGGUUUCUUGGGAGGUGCAGGUGGUGAGCUGGAAGGAGAGGGCUUGGCCGCCGAGGUUGGCGAAGGCCUGGAACGACGCGCCCCAGUUGUGGGUCAUGCUGAUCCAGUCGGUGCUGUCGCCUUUCACGUCGAUGCUGCAGACGUCCCCCGAUCCGCCGACGUUGAGCACGUAGACCAGCAGCCAGUAGGCGUUCCCCUGGAACUGGAAUCGGACUCCGCCCGUCUUAGGGCAUGAAACCCUAAAACAACACAAUUGCGCAUAUUGACCAAAUUAGAUCAUCAUGUAUAUAUAUAGAGAGAGAUAUAUGAGCUGGAAUACUAUUAGUGGCAAACGAGCUCCGUUGCCACCCAUUUGUUUUCGAUGAUAGAGCCUUCAAAUCAACGAUCGGUACCGUUGAAUAUAAUCUAUAUCACUUGAAGGAUCUAGAAACCAAUUUUCAUACGUUGAAUAUAAUCUAUAUCACUUGAAGGAUCUAGAAACCAAUUUUCAUACUUUUUAGAUAUUAUUCUCUUAUCCAUCAAGUGGACAUAAAUAAACGGUUGAAAAUGAAUAUUUUUUAAAAAGUGAUGAUAGGAGUCUUAUAAUCGAGAUUAAGAGUAUAGAUCUUGUUUUAAAUAGUUUAAACAAUUUUAUAACCAAAAUUCAAUUAAUUUGAAUAUCUUUACGCCGUAAACGAAAAAAUGUCUCAUAUUGAUCAUUCAAACUAUAAAUUUUAAAACCCUUUAAUCAUUACGCCAAUGAUGUCGAAGAGACUUGAAAUUUGGUUUCUAGAUACUUCAAGUGGUAUAAAUCAUCUUCAACGAUACUAAUCAUCGAUUUGGAGAAUCUAUUAUCGAAAACAAAUGGGUGACAACGGAACCCAUUUACUACUGAUAUAGCAUUCCAACUCAACUCUAUAUACAUGUAGUAGUUUUUUAUUUUGUGGCUUCUCUUGUUGAUCUUUGUUUUUUUGCAUGCAUGCAUGCAUGUAUGUAUGUGUGUGUGGUGCAGGAGGAUGGAGAAACAUUGAGAGAGAGAGUGUGUGUGUGUGUAUAGAGCAAUUUCUCAAAGAGAAAUAAUUCAACCACCUUUGCAUGCAUUAUUUUGAGAAUUUCUCAACAUUUGAAUUCUUUGGCAAAUGCAUAUAUAUUCGACCUCUCAAGCAUACUAGCUAUAAAGGUUAGAAAGAAAUUGAGGGAACAAUUAAGUUUCUAUAUAUAAUUUGGAGUUUUGCUGGGCUACUAAGGUAGUAAGUUGUUGGGUUUAUUAACCAAUUUGCAUUCCAUAUUAGAGCUUCCAAACAGCGGUACAAUAGAAUAUGAUCUAAACUAUUUAAAUUAUAUAGAAAUUAAAUUUUAUAUUUUUUUCGACAUCACUAACCGAACAAUCGAAGAAUCACAAAUUUUGUAAUUUUAAUGGCCACACUAUAACAAAAAAGGUCUAUAGCGACACUUUUAAAUAUAGGUACAUGUCAAAAAAGUGCUGCUAGCUAAAAUUACCGACACUUUUAAAAAGUGUUGCUAUAUGUGGGGUCGCUAGGUAUAUAGUGACAGUUAAAGAGUGUCGCUAUAAUCUAAAAGAGUGCUGCUAAUUUACCAAUAUUUAUUUAAGCAUUUAGCAACAGUCGAAACUCUAUCUCGUUGGCUGCGAUGGCGGAGGAAGACGAUAGGAAACGCUCUUCAUCUAGAAUUUCAGUGGAUUGAGUGAAGAGAGAAGAAAAGAUGGUAAUUGAUUUUUCUUUUUUUUUUCUUUUCUGUUUGUAAUCGGGCCAAAUGGACUGGGUGUGGUGAGUUGAAUAGAGUAAUAUUUUAUUUUUGGUUGGAUUGAGCUUUAUAUUUAGGCAUUAGUAGAUAUUUUUUUAAGUUUAGGAUAAAUGGGACACUUACUCAAAAGUGUCCCAAACAUGUGUCCCUAUAACCUAAUUCUGUUGUAGUGCCAAUACGGUUGCGUGUGCUUAUUUAAUGAUAUAGAAGAGUUUAAAUCAGCUAAAUUCUCAUUAGAAAAUAUUUUAAAUUAUUUAAAACAAGAUCUAGACUCUAAAUUUUAAAUACACAAAUUAUAUAAUCACUUUUUGAAAGAUAUUUAUUUUCCGCCAUGAUUUUAUUUUCACUUGAUGGAUAAGAGAAUAAUAUCGAAAAAGUAUAAAAUUUGAUUUUCAAAUAAUUUAAAUAAUUUAGAUCAUAUAUAUUCAACGGUAUCAACCGUCGAUUUGAAAGCUCUAUCUAAAAAAUAAAUUGAUAGUAAAUCGAGCUGUUUACUAUCGAUAGUAUUCUAAUAAAUCUCUAUAUAUAAUUUGAAUCGGGAACUCAAAUUUGAUACCGCCAAAAAAAAAAAAAAAAAAAAAAAAAAAAUCUAGCAUGAAUUUAUGUUCAUUGAACUCGCGUACCUCCGGUACAUGACCGGGACGAUACCGGCGUUCCAGUCGGCGAUCUGCAUGAACGCGGGCUUCGACAUGUCGAAGUGCACCCUCGGGGGGUUGCACCACCCGCCGUUGUCGGAUGCCUCGGCCCAGUUGGGCGGGCAGAGGUUCGUGCCGGUCACGACAAUCGACGGGCUCCCCGCGUAGCAAGCCGUCGCCCCCGUGCACCGUAUCUCAUAGCAACCGCCGCACCCGUACCCCUCGUUGAACAACACGGAGCUCAACGCCGCGGUCGCCGUCCCGUAGCCGGUGCUGUAGAGGUUGCCAUAUCCACAGGCUCCCCCUGCAGUCAUAUUUCAAAAGCAUGUACAUGCAUCACUAGUUAGGGUUAGGGUUUAUGAACAUAUAUACAUGAUCCAAGUGAAAAGAGAAUAAAUUUGUUGUAGUUUACAAUACAAACAGGUAUAUGUAAUAUGCCGCAAAGGAUUUGUAUCAAUCAAUCCUAUCUAAUGAGAUAUAAUCAAGAAUAAUAUGAUAAUUUAAUACUGAAAAAAUGUCACCGAAAAUUUUUAUUCUAGAAAGGAUUUUCUCAAUAAAAUGAAGGAAAAGCGAGAAAAGAGAGAGAGACCCAUGGUUUCGGACGCGGUCUCGUCCCCGUAGAAUGUGGCAUGGGCGAGAGACCAGUCAGACGUCUGGAAAUUUGCAUCGACUCGAGUCACUGUGAUUGCCAUCAGCACUGCCAGCGCUACCAGAAGGCGACCGAUCGAUCGAGGUCGACGAAAGGAAGAAGCCAUGGAUGCCCUAAUUUGCUUGAGAGGCUCAAAAGCACUUUUUGAGAAAGCUUAAUCUCUUCCCUUUGGACACACCCGCACCCCUCAAUGUUAUUAUAAGCUCUCCCUCUCUUCUCCAUUUGAAAACCCUAGUAUUAAACCCCUUUGACCUACGUGCAUUUCUACAAGUUGGCGCCACGACCAUGUUAUUGGACAGUAAAAUGACUAAAAUAUCCUCUAAACUACAUAAUGUUACUAAACAAGGGCCCUUGGAUUAGGGGUAAUUCGGAAAUUAUGACAUGCAAAAGGAAAUGGUGGACUUUGUUGACGUGCGCGCAUGUUUUUUUCGUAUAAAUAUAUUGGACGUGCACAAAGGUAAGUAAUUAUGCUUUAGUUUCUUUUUAUAUUGUAUAUUAUAUUUACAUUAGUUUUUUUUUACAUUAAUUUGUAUUGUUUUUUAAGUUUCUUUGAAAUGGAGAAAUGGGUAGUUCAAAUAGAGUUUCUUUUUUUUUUUUUGUUGACUAAAAUAUUUCAAUGUGGAUAGGUUAUUAAAUAUUAUGUAACACUUUUGUAUGAAUUGAAUAUAAUAGUGAAGGAUCUUAUUUUAGCUUUAAUAACAAAUAACAAUUUUUAGCUUAUUACCAAGUAUUAUAUAUUUGAUCAUGAGAAUUGAUCAAAUCUAUGACUAGCACUUUAAUUCUUCUUUUUUUUUUUUUGAGGGACUAAAAGGGAAUAAGGUAUAUGCAGAGUAAUUAAUAAAAUUUCUCUCUCUUGGUGCGUUUAAGCCAAGUAACAAAAAUAAUAGAAACCCAAAAUAAAUGCCUCGACUUGUUAAUUUUUGGUCAUAGUUAAAGUAGAUGUUAGAUAACCAAUAAUUAAUAGAUAAUAAAUUAAUUAAUGUGGUAAAUUUUACUAUUGAUUAUAGCUAGCAAACAUAUAAUACAACAAUGUAUAUAUAUAAUGUUAACUAGUAAAAUUACCCACGCAUUGCGGUGAGCUAAUACUAUAAAAGACAGAAAAUUAAUAAAGAAAAAAAUUUGAAAAUUUUUUUGACUUGUCAUGAGAUAUCAAUAAAUACAAAUAAUAUAAGAAAAAAGAGUAUUUUUUUUAUAUAAAAUUGAUUUGUUUAAAUGACAAUAGAUUAUAUGAAUACAUUAAUUAAAAAAUGGGCAGAUAGAAGGACAAAGCAUCAGAUAGAGAUGGAAGACGGAAAAGCACGAAGCAUCAGGAGUGGGAAAGAGGGAGAAGGCAAGAUUGAAGUAGGAACUGUCAUGUGGCAAAUUCUAUAGAAAAUAAUGUAUAGGUAGGUAGGUAUAGAUUUAGUGUCAGAUUUGAGAAGUGAUACAUUUUAAACCAAAUAAAUUAGAGCAAUACUUCAAUACACCAUAUGUAUUAAAAUCAAACUCUUAAUUAGUAAAGGGUAUAAUUGUAUUUUAUAUAAAGUAACCUAUUGAACAGGUUACCGAUUUGAAUUAAUUAAUAUGAUAAUAUUGAAAAACAAUUAGUAGUAUACGUACAGUACCAAAUUUGUUAACAUCCUAUAAUAUUAAGUAUCUUAUUUAGUUUUGUUACUUACCAAAUUAGAUAAUACCCAAUUUGUUAUCCAACUCAAAAAAAUAUUGAAUUUAAAUUUAAGCUUUGAAGUUGGUAUUGUAAUGUAAAAUUUUAAUUUCAAAAUUAUAUUAAACUUUUAAAUUUUGAAUCUACAUUGCAUUUUUAAUCUAAAAGCCAAAUUUUAAUUUUUAAUUUAAAUUAAAAUUUUGAAUUUGAACUGAAAGUUUUAUUUUAAAUUUGUGUUUUAUAUUUAAAAGUUGAAUUUGAUUUAUAAUUAAGUUUUUUAUGUUGCCUUGUAUUUAAAUUUACAGUUUAGUUGUAAUUUGAAUUCCAACUAUUGUUAUAGGUAUUUGAGAAAGUUAUAGUAUUCUUAGGCUUCAUUUGGGAUUGCGGGGAGAUUGUGUUACGUGCGGUCAAAAAGUACGUUAAAAAAAUACCUUGUUUGUUUCCGUACGUAAUAUUACGUUCCGCAUAUCGAGAUGAGUCGGUUAUGAUAUAUUUUCUGCGGUCCCACCGGAGAACGCAGAAAUAUAUCACUAUAUGCGAUAGAUAGGCCUCAAUACCAAACUAAGCCUUCGGCUUCGUUUUUUACUCAACUCCAUUUUAACUAAUAGCAUUAGAUAGGCCUCAAUACCAAACUAAGCCUUAGGCUUCGUUUGGGAUUGCGGAAAAAUUGCGUUACAUGCGGUGAGAAACGACGAUGAAAAAAUACCCUGUUUUCGUACGUAAUAUUGCGUUCCGUAUAUUGCGGUUAAUCGGUUACAAUAUAUUUUCUGCGGUCCCAUCAGAGAACGCAGAAGCAUAUCCCUAUAUGCAUUUUUCUCAACUCCAUUUUAUCUAAUAGCGUUAGAUAGGCCUGAAUAUCAAACUAAGCCUUAUUAGUUGGAUAAAACCAAUUUGGUAGACCAAAAUAUUUUUCUAAGACCAAAAUGCCUUUUAAAUAGAUACCGGGUGAAUGGUACCUAAACCAGAAUAGUAGGUCGCCUUUAGAAUCAUAUUACAUCUCAACCAUCUAUUUAAAAAAAUAAAUGGUCAAAAUUUACAUGGUGUAUUAAAGUAUUACUCAAUAAAUUAAAGCAGAAUAUCAAGCUAUAUGCAAUAGCAUGAUUAGGAUUGUACACAUUUUUUUUGUGUACAGUGCAGGGUAGAAUUAAUCUUAAUAAAAUUAGGUUAAAUUACAGAAAACUCCCUGUCAAAACCUGCUUUUUCACUUCCCCCUGUAAUUUAAAAACCUACACUUUGCCCCUUUGUAAAAUAAAAAAUGUGCACUUCACCCCCUACCGUUAGGGUUCCGUUAUAACAUUUUUUUUAUGCCAAAAAUACCCUUCCGCCCCUCUUUCCUGUUGCUUCGAUGGCUUCCGGGACGGUGCCCUCGCCGGCCUCGCCCUCCUCCACGAGCUCAACCUCCUCUUCGACCGCCCUCUCGACGCCAUCUUCCUCAACUCCAACCGCCUCCGCCGCCGCCGCCCCAUCCCCGCCAACCUCGGCGACUCCCCGAACUCCAUCGCCGUCCUCGCCCACAACAAACUCGGCGGCUGCUUCCCGCCUUCCAUCGGCCGCAUGGCCGACACCCUCAACGAGAUCGUCCUCCUCGACGACGGCCUCGCCGCCUGUGUCCCGCCCGAGGUCGGCCUCCUCCGCCGCGAAUGAGAAGGAUGAGGGAGAAAACGAAAAUGGCGAAGGGCAAAAUGAUCAUUUUGUCACACCAUACCCCUCUGUGAAUAUUUUUUAUUUUACAAGGGGGUAAAGUGUAGGUUUUUAAAUGACAAGGGGGGAAAGUAAAAAAAUGGGUUUUGACAGAGGGGUUUUCUGUAAUUUAGCCAAAAAAUUAUAUCAUGUCUAUGUACAAUAUUUUUAAGAUUGGAUUCAGUACCCAUAUUCCAUCAAUAAUAACUCUUAGUCUGUCAAUAUUACUAUCUUUUUUAUAUCCUUACCUUAAUUAGAUAUGAACUCAGGGACUAAAAUGUAGAGCGCACAGAAAUUAAAAGUAGGCUAAAUUAUAAAAAAUCUACUUACACUUUAGUCCCGUUCUCAAUUAUCCUUUUGUAUUAAAAAUUACAUCAGUUACCAUCAUAAACUUUAUCAUCGUCUCAAAUAGAUCCAAAAAAAAUAAAAAAUUGGCAAAUUAGGCUGAAGAAUUUACUAAAUUGAGUUAUACAUAUCAUAUUAUUCCAUAUCUCAACAUAUAUCUAAUUUACAAUUCAAAUAAUAUAUAAAAAAGUUAGAUAAAGGAGAUUUCCUAUUUUUGCUAAUACUAUCAACAGUGAUAAUUUGUUGAGCAAUUUAUGCAAUUUACAUAAUUUAAUUGCGUUGCUUAAUUAUAGAUAAUUUUAUCUGCAAAUGUCUUUUUAUAAAAUUUUAUAGCUAAAUUCAAGUAAUGACAAAAGCCAAACAAGAAAAAAGAAUCCUGCUUCUUCAAGUAUGGAACACCAAAGCGAAUCGAAAAACGGAGAAAAAUAAGCACAAAAGCAAUUUAUGUUGUUGACGAGCAUGUCUCUCUCAGAAAACCCUAAUCCCUCAAAAUACAACCCAAUCCUUUCGCUCGUAACAAGAAUCCGCGAAAUAAGAAGUAUAAAUACAUGAAAGGGAUAAGUGUCCAUCUAUUCCUCAAAACUUUGAAAAUAUCUAAUUUAUCCCUACUUUUCUUUUGUUUUAAAUAUACCAUUCAUACGUUCCUUAUUAUUCAAAAAUGCUCCCAUAAUUAUCACUCAUUAAGUCAUCUCGACUUAAACAUAAGGUAAAUAUCUAUCAAAAUUAAAAAAAUCAAAAUACGGCUUUUGCCCUUAACUUAAGGACAAAUAAGAAAAAUUAGUGAUGGUAGAAUGAUAUAUUUAAAAGACAAAAAAAUUAAAAUACUUUUUUUGCCCCCAACUUAAGGACAAAUAAAAAAAAUUGGUAAUGGCAUAAUGAUAUAUUUAGAAGGGCAAAAUAGUAAUUUUAUACAAAUAAUAACGGUUGCUAACAGUUUACUAAUAAAAUUUAACUUUAGGGGUAUGUUUGAAAUAACUUGGAACGUUAAAAGAGUACUUAUAAUAUCAGCCUUCUAAAAUAGAUAAAUCAGAAAGUUUGAAACUUUUCAGAGAUAUAUAAGUAAUUGCCCCUACACGAAAAAGUUACCCUCAUUUUUACCCUCCCUCUCACUCUUUAGUAUUGAACAAGGUAAAACAUAUUAACAAUUCAACACAAACAAGAUCUGUUUGAUUAAGAAAAAAAGAAAAGGGGGAAAAUUAAAUAGAAAAGGGAAAUUUUUAAAAAUAGUAUAUAUAAACUUUCAAAAAGCCCUUUUUUCCCCACAUUAUCUCAUACAUGCAUGUAUUACCACAAACUAUGUGCCCUAACACUAGCUUAAGCUUUAGCCAGAUAAUUGUACUGUUGAGGAAACUAUUUUACAUUUUUUUUUUCCUAUUUAAGUCGAAAUUUCUAACCAAAAUGUGUGAAGAAGGAUUGCCCAUGUCUCAUGAAGUUGUAAUUCAGCUCGCCCGGUUUCGCGGUCUUUUGCCUGUGGAGAACAUUAAUCAUACAGGGAAAAAAAAAAAUAAAAGUUUAGAUACAUUUAGAGAAAAAUCCAAGCAUUAGUUGUAACACCCAAAAAAUUCAAGCAAAAAGGUGUCGAAAGUAGAAAACAUUCUCAAAGACUUUUUGAGAAUCUGAACAAGAUUUUGAGGUCAAUUUGAACAAAAUUGAGUCAAAUUGACACUUUGAAUAUGAACUAGAAGUCAAUUAACUGAGUUAAAUAUCAUGUUUAAAUAUGUGAGUCGUUUUAUAAACAUAUAAUUACACAAGUAUGCUCAAUAUUGAUGCCAGGCAUACUUAAGCUCUACAGCAGUUGCAUCCCUGAUCCUCGAGAUGCUUCCGCUAUCGGGACGCUGCAUUAGUCGUAAUCUUUACAAGAUUGCUGUAAGGGAAAAGUAUGCCUGACCCUCCUGGACUUUGGCCCAACUAGAUUUAGUCACUCAGAACUUUAUAUACUAGAAAGAACUAUGUGAACUUUUAACUAGUUUCAAUUAAGAAAAACUAACGAAAUUUUGGGGGUUGAUGUUUGUGUAAUUUUUCUUUACUUUUUCGAAGUUCGGGCAGCUAAAUGUAAUCGAGUAAUUCCACCGGUCCAGCACGCUUUUCCCAUUGCAAAAUUAAAAAGCCAAAAAUUCUCAGAUAAGUAGAGUGUAUUCAUACCACAUCUGAUCUUCUAACAUUUCUUCAGUGAAACCAAAUGCUCUAAGCUCCUCGACGGUAUGAUGCACAAGGAGGCUGUACCUGUAAUCAUAGUAAAAGGAUCACUAUGUAGGAUUAACACAUGUACUUCCUUUUCAACUUAAUUUAUCCAUCCUUAACUUGCAGAUCAGUUUCCUACACUAAUCAAGUGUCUAAUGAAACUAAACAAAUCAAAAAGACUAAGAAUAAGAACGAAAUAAAAAUGUUAAAGACCUGAAGAGAUCAGAACAUUAAAAACUACAUACACAGUUUAGCAUGUUUGCACUGAACUUAACUAACCUGUAGUUACUGUUCCCUUACUACUAAUCUAUUGUUAAUGGAAAAUGUCGCGGUAUAACCAUAAGAUAGUUAAUUGCAACACAUGAAGCUGCAGGGAAACGAGGUGCAGCAUGUGAAGUUCAGAAAGAACUUCGUAAAAGCCAACGAGUGCUGAAGCAGAGCAGAAAAGGGACUGUCUCUGCUAGGAUUAGUGCUUUCAGAUUGAAUGUGCAAUCAACAGCAUAUUAAUAGACCAACCAAGAAGUCUCAUGUGAAUAUUUAUCAUAUUAUCAAAGCCCCAGUAGUAUACAUGGAUAAGUAAGUCGACUCCUUUCGGAGGAACUUACGAUGCUUACACAUGAAAUGCACAAACAAAUUCACAGAAAAUUACAUGUUUCCAACUCCAACGACGAGGAGAAAAGACUAACUGCUGUUAAUGAAAUGCUAGCUGUUAUAUUUAGGGAGAGUUAUCUGCAAUAUGGCCAAAAAUAUGAGAACCAAAGUGCAAUAAAAUCGUCAAAUCCAUAUAAAGCAGGAAAUGGUUACCUGCCGCCAUUCCCUGUUUGCAUAACCAACAUUCCACCAUUAUCGAAAUUAUUCAACCCCUCGAACUGCUCCACGGUCCACUUGUACCACCUCAUCAAGAAAACUCUUAGCGUCAAUCCAUGCGAUACGAGAACGAUGUUCAUGUUCGGUGAUCUUUUGCCAGGUGGCUGAAACCGACCUAUAUCAAUAUCUGCUUUAAGGGUCUCCCUAAAGCCUGUAGCAGUAACACUGCAUAAAUAUGAAGCUAUACCUCUUAGAGGAACAGGUCAAGUGUGUUAGAGAACGAAUACGACUAUCGUGCACGCUAGGAUAGCCCGUGGUUUAUUAAAAAGCUUAUUACCUGUUAUUCGGUCGUAUACGUCAGCAGCCGAUUCUCCAUUUGGAAAACGGUAGAAAAAACGACCAUAUCGCUGGCGGGUUUCUUUCUCGACUCGCAUCUUCUCCCUGUCUUGAAAAUUUCCUAUAUCACAUACAGGGGCAGAGAGCAGAACUCUUAGUAAGAGAGCCGUGAAGAGUAACAGAUUAUCUGAAAAAGUCAUUAGGCUUUCUGUAAUGGAAUACUUCUUAAACAUUAGCAGAUCUUCUCAGAAUCUACAGGAAUACAUGCCCUCGCAUUAAUGCUGCACUGCUAUGCUGCGCACUCGUGUGAUCAAUGUGCCGCACAAUGACUACAGCAAUAAAUCACCAAUUUAAUGCAUUUUAGUAGAUAUAAGCCGAUUAGUUACAACAUGUCGGCUACUAAAUAGCAAGGAUUUAAGUGUCACGUCAUAGGAUCGUGCCGAAAAUUUGCUGGCACGAUACGCCGCAGUGAGUGCCAUGCUAUGCCAAUGUGUUUCAGUCUUAAAAAAAACCCAUAUAUCAAAGCAUAAUGGCAUGAAAUAUUUAUUAUUUUUGGCACUAGUAUAUUAUAUUUGCUUAUUAUAUAUAUUUAUCAAAUCUUUUGAACUUUAUUGAAGUAACUACUUGCUAAUUUUAAAGAAAAUAGGGCUGAGCCGUGUCAUUGGAACAAGGAUCGUAUCGUACCGAUACCUUGUCUGUUGGGACUUAGGAUCGUCCUGCAUGUUCUAUCAACAAAAAUACACGAACAAAGAAAUAGGAAAAAAUAAUAGAAAGAAAAUAUACAGAAAAAAAGAGACAGCGAUUUACGUGGUUCGGCAAGUGGCCUACGUCCACGGGGAGAGCGAGAGAGAUGUAUCCUUUAUAUGAAGAAAACAAAAAUACAAGCCCACACCUUUAUGUUUCUCUCAAUCUAAUACAAGAGCCUUAUGGUUACUACCACCCUUCUCUUGUUACAACAAAUAAGAGAAACUCAACAAGCUACUAAUUAAGUUUCUAGACUUCUCCUAAUACCUCACUUAAUUCACUCGUUGCUUGUGCUUCAUCUUGUUGUCUAAAUCUGUGGAGUGAGAAGCCUUAUAUAGCCAUACAAGUAGUUGCACAAUGGAAGUUGGCAACUUCAAUUGUCAACUCCUUAAUUAGCCUAUCUAUAGGCUUUUUGACAAUUGGGUAAACUUGUGUUUCAUGCAUGCAUGCAUGAAACACAGGCAUGCAUGCAUGAAACACAGGCAUAUAUACUUCUCUGCCCAAUGAAAGUCUUGUAUUCAUACUUUGAAUAGUUCGGUAGACCCUGUGCGCCAUAAAUCAACUUUCAUAUUUAUGUCUCUUUUGCAUAUUAGUCCAAAAAACCUUAUGGGCCAAACAAAUAAUUUUAUGCCCUAUACAAAAGAAGACAUAUAACCAACAUUGUCGGCAUAGUGGAUACGGUCGAUGCCACCGGGCACUUAAAUAUGCAAGGUGACACCCUCAACAAUAUCCUCUUCAAUCAAUUCAAUUUAAGUUCAGUCAUAUGAAGUCGAGAUUUCAUUAAAAUUAAUGACUUUACUAGCUAUACAGUAUGAAGCUCGAAUCCAUUGAAUUUAACAAAAUUGCUACUAAGACCAUGUUCGGAAUCGUCGAAAUCACCGUCUUAGACGGAAAUUUCAAAUCAGAAUUCAUUAAAAAUCCUUUGCUUGAAAACAGUUUGUUUGGUAUGAUAUCAGUAAGUAUAAGCAUAUUCAACGGCAUGAGGUUGGAUUUUUCAUAAUUUGCAUUUCUCACACAUCAAAAAAAAAAAAAAANAACAGUUUGUUUGGUAUGAUAUCAGUAAGUAUAAGCAUAUUCAACGGCAUGAGGUUGGAUUUUUCAUAAUUUGCAUUUCUCACACAUCAAAAAAAGAAAAAAAAAAGAAUUCUUAUCUCCAACCCCUUUAUGAGCUAUGUGACCAAGUACGAAACUCGAACCAAUCCAAUCCCAUCCAUUCCAAACAAGAGAAUUCCGCAACAAACCAAGUUACUUGAAUUAACGGAAUUACAAAUCAGUGCAAUCCAAUCAAGAUUUGAACUUAAGCCCUUUUUGGACGUCAGAAUAAGAGCGUUUAUUUUUUGCAUUUAGCCCCCUUAAACAAUUUUACUUUACGAAUAAUCUUAUAAAAAUUAAAAAUGCAGAAAUGAACCUAUAUUGUGCACAUAGGCAUCAUGCAAAAUAUUUUAAGUGAACACGGUGAUUCAUGCACUGUGUUUAGAAUAGUGUAUGGAGAAGAAGAGACAUUGAUUCAAUUUCUAGAAGUACAUUAUACAUUUGACUAAACGCAAUAAACAAAUCAUGGCGUUCUAAACACGGCGAGUGAAUCACCAUGUUCACUAAAAAUAUUUUGCAUGGCGCCUACAAGCACACUAUAGUGUCAUUUCUGCAUUCAUAAUUUUGAUAGAAUUAUCUGCAAAAAGAAUAUUUUUGAGGGGGCUAAAUGCAAAAUAAGCUCCGGGAUGAAUUAAUUUUCCUCCUUGAAAGACCUUGACAUCUAUUAACUUGGUAGGAAAACAUAUUUUACCUACGAAAUGACUUAUCUUACUCCGAAAAGGCCGAGUUUGGAUGCAUGAAUAUCUUGUUUGGUAUAUCUCCAUGAUUUAUUUAGCAGAGGCGGAGUGCGAUCAAACGUCUAAAAUUAGAUACUAUAUUCAGCCUUCAAGUCAUUUUUUCGAAUAAGAUAAAUCACCUAGUAGUAAGUGAAAUAUGCUAUUCUAUUAAAUCAUGAUGAUAUCAAGACCUUUCAAUGGGCAAAAAUCAAACUCGUUUCUAGAAAAUCCUUAUAGCGAAUGAGUUAUCCGCAGACUUUCAAACAGGGCCAGAAAUGAUUUGAAGGCUGAGUAUGGUAUAUCAUUCUAUACAUUUGACCGCGCUCCUGGUUUCCAAUUACAUUAGAAAAUCCUCGUACCGAAUAGGAUACCACAGGAUGACUUAUUCCGACAUCCAAACAAUUACAAUGAAAAUUCCUCGUAGUGAAUAGGAUGCCACAGGAUGACUUAUUCUGACAUCCAAACAAUUACAGUAAAAAAAUUUUAUAUCAAAUAUGAUAUUACUGUAUGACUUAUUUCGACAUUCAAACAAUUACAAUUACAGUAAAAAAUUCUUAUAUCAAAUAGGAUAUUACCGAAUGACUUAUUCCGACGUCCAAACAGAGUAGGGUCUCAAUCAAUUUGUUUAUGUUUUGUGACUUGAAAAUUUAGAACAUAUGAACUAGAAUUGGGGGAAAGGGGNCCGAUGCCGCAGAGCGUCUCGAGCGUGCGGCGGUAGGGGGAGACGUAGAAGUAGACCCUCCAAUCGUCGCCGGCGCCGCCGCUCUCGACGAGGCGGCGGAUGCGGCGGCCGCACUCGUCGGCGUCGCGCCAGCCCUGGGCCGUGAGCCCGAUGCGCGGGUCCGGGACGCGCGCGUACGCCGCCUCGUCGACGUUCCCCUCGCUCUGCCCGUGCCGCACCAGCACGAUCCGCCGCGGCCUCGGCGGCGCCGGCGCCAUCGCCGCCGCCGCCGCCGAGAGCGCCGCCGCCGAUCGCUCCAGCAGCUGCAACUCCGCGGCGACGGCGGCGGCGGAGAGCGGGGGUCGGCGGCGGCGGAGGCCGAGGGUGUCUUCGCAGCAGCGGAGGCGGAGGCGGAGGCGGGGGCGAGAGGAGGAGGGGAGAGGAGGAGACGAGGCUAAGGAAACCAUGAAUGUAAUAAUGCAAUGCAAAUACAAUUUUCUAUUGCGUAGAAGAAACUACUGUUCAUUUUUUUUUUUUUUUUAUUGGAAAAUUGGGGAAAAGAGAGGGGGGGGGGGGUUGGCGAAUGGUGAGUACGUGUGCGAUUGCGCGGGCGCGUGUGGUUGUGUGGUUGCGGGGUUGUGGGAGUGGAGAUCCUAUCGACACCUGGAAUAGCUGACAAACAUCGCCACGUUGCGAGCUACGUUCUACUGCAGGUGUGAAUCUUACUUUUCUAAAUGUAAGAAUUGACACCAAAAAAAAAAAAAAAAAAAAAAAACCUUACUGUUGCUAGAGCAAGUGGCAAAAGAUUUAAUUGUUGGUAUUCAAGCUCCCAAGUUCGAAUUCUAAUUCAUUCACAUUUCUAACUAUAUUUAUUUUUAAAUAAAAUAAACGAAGUGAAUAGCGUGCUACCUACCUCUCAAAAUAAGAAUUGAGCAAAAAAAAAAAAAUUUAACUAGAUUUUUUAGUAAAAACAAUUUUAAUAUGAUAAGUUAAAAAAAAAAAAAAAAAAAAUUAAUUUCGUACAGAUCCUGCCAAGUAUAGUGAAUUACAAAUAUAUUUAUACAAAGUUCAACUUUCAUAUAUUGUUUCUACAAAAGUCCUAAUAUUUUCAAAUAUGUUCUUCUGGUUUGCAACUGUUAAAGAACUGUUUAUUUUACAAGUAAAAUGGCCUUUUUGUCAUCACAAAUAUGUCUCUCGAAAAGUUCCAACUGUUAAUUAAAGAGAGAUAAAAAUGUCAAUUCAGCUCAUUAACUAAUUAGGGUUAAGUAUUUUACCUAUGAUUGGUUAACUAAUUUUUAAUAACGGACUUUAACAGUAGAGACAUAUUUGAAAACGUCAGGACUUUUGCAAAGACAAUAUAUAAAAGUUGAAAUUUGUAAAAGUAUAUUUAUAAUUUACUAUAUUAGUAUGAAUCUAAAUGAAAUUAAUCCUAAAAAAAAUAUAAAUCAAUAUAAGCAUACAGAUGUAAACCUUAUAUCCAACUUGUACGGCUAAUGUUGCUCAGAGUACAAAGUAAAUUACUCUUUCAGUCCUAAAACUAUAAAAGGAGAAUGACAUUUUAGUCUUUAAAUUUUAAAUUUGACUAAAUUACAGAAAUUUUCGUGUAAAUAUUUAUUUUUUUUCUCUUUUCUAACUUUUUAAAAAAUUUGUAUUUUAUUUUUUCAAAAUUUCAAGUUGUUGCAUUUAGUCCCACUCCGUCAGAAUUUAAUUCACUAUUUCGUUCAUGUCUUAUAAUUUAUACCGAAAAUAUUCUUCAAAAUCAUAAAAAAAAUAUAUUAAAAAAUUAUUUUUUUCUCUUAUAGAAGAAAUAAGAAAAAUGAAAUCACAUGGUACUAGCUUGAUACACUUUAAACUAUAGGAUAUUAAAGUGAGAAACUGUAAAACCACAAAGGGUAUUUGAAGUUUAUCCUAAAAUCUAUAAUGGGGGAGGGAGAGAGAGAAAAAAAAGGGCUAAAUUGCAGAAAAUCCUACUAUCAAAAUUUGAUUUUUCACUUUCCCCUCCUAUUAUUUAAAAACCUACACUUUACCCCCUUAUAAAAUAAAAAAUGUUCACUUGGGUAUGAUGUGAACUGUAGUGACAAAAUGAUCAUUUUGCUCCUCACCAUUUUGCCCCUCACCAUAUUCACAGGAGAGAAGGUUAAGGAUAUUUUUGGCAUAAAAAAUAUAUAAUAAUAUUUUAUAAACGGAACCCUAACGAAUUACUAACGGCAGGGGCAAAUUGAAUAUUUUUCAUUUUAUAAGGAGGUAAAGUGUAGAUUUUUAAAUGACAGAAAGAAAAAGUGAAAAAUCGAAUUUUGAUGUGGGGUUUUAUGUAAUUUAGCCAAAAAAAAAAAAAACAAAAAAAACAAAAGCUGGUGUCCACGUGGCGCCGGCUCACUGCAGCACCACCGAAAACGACGAGAUGUCCGGCUGCUUUUUCGCUUUCCUUCCUGAGCCAGCUGGCGCAUGGCCAUGGCCGCCUCCUCCGCCUCCUCCUCCUCCCCACUCCUCUUCCAUUUCGCCCCGGUCCGGUUCGCCGCCGCUCCGGUCCACCUCCCGGUCCGGUUCACCCCCCCGAACCGCCCCUCCUCUGCCGCCGCCGGCGCCGCCGCUCGCCGGAACCCUAUCCGGCCGGUGUCCUCCUCCGCCGCCGCCGCCGGCGCCUUCGCUACUCCGCUCAUCUCCCCCCACGACCAAUGGGGCACGUGGGCCGCCGCCUUCGCCGCCGCCGCCUUCGGGAUAUGGUCCUCCUUUUCCCCUCUCCCCCAAAUUUGUCAAAAAUGUCUAGAAUGCAUAAUUAUAUUGCUGACGUGGCAUUCACAAUCACUGGAAUUGUCCCCUUUGAAUGAGAUAUACGAUUGACUUAUUACUGAUGAUGUGGUGCAAGUAUAAUAUCGUAGACUUUCUCAAUUUGUGUAGAGCAGGUCUUAUUGCAGUCAAACUACAUCGUCUAUAAUUAGGCACUCGCUAAGCAAGUAUGGAGAAUUUGAAUUCACACAUUGUCCUUAAAAAAGGGGUCUAUGUGGAUCGUAAGCACUAACCAACUAUUACAAAAAUAUGUGCUAAUAAAAACGGUGCAUCCAUCGCACUUAAGGGCUCAACUACAGUGUUCGCAAAUUUCGACCUGAUUCAACACACCUGACCUUUUAAGUCUAUUAUUGAGCCUGUUGGCAUUAGGUUUAUUGUAGAUCGAAACCUCACUCAACUUAUUAGUCUUUUGGGUGUGUUAUUAUGGAUAGAAAAUUGAACAUAUUUUAGCCAAUAUAGAUAGCUAACAACCUACAGUGAAAUUUGUCAUGUUUGAAUGUUUUCUUAGGAUUUUCUAAGCUUCUUAAUUGAGCAGCACUUAUGAAUGAGCACUUUUUUGUCAUUCAGAAAAAUGAUUUAAAAUUAGCUCUUGGCUCUGUUAAUAACACCAUCCUUCUUUUCUGGGGUUUCUGAGUAGGUCGGAGAGGACCAAGCUGGGGAGCACAUUGAGUGGCGCGCUGGUGAGCACGCUGGUGGGCCUGGCAGCCAGCAGUGCUGGGAUCAUCCCCGCCGACGCUCCGGCAUACGGAGUGGUGUUGGAGUAUUUGCUGCUGUUGGCCGUACCGUUGCUCCUCUUCAAUGCCGACCUUCGCCGGGUGGUCCGGUCCACCGGAGCCAUGCUCUUGGCCUUUCUGAUCGGAUCGGGUAAAACUUUCGAUAGGGUACUAUGCAUGGAUGGUCGCAAACACUAGUGUCUAUUUGGUUCUACUUCUGCUUUUAGCUGUUGUACUAGUUACAUCCUGUAGAGUAAUUUAAAAUCGCAAAAGCUUAGAGCUUCUACUUUGGUGAAUGGUAGAAGACUAAAAGCAUCAUUUUUAUACUAUAUAAAAGGUUCAAAAAUUUUACAAGCGCUUUUAAUCUUUCCUUUAUUUACACUAUAAAAUUGCGGUUGCAACCGCCGCGGGAGAAGAUUGUUGGCUUUUUAUUAUUGACUAAAAUUGGUCUAACUUUCUGCCCCAUCAUAAUAGGCCUAGGAGAGUAAGGCUUUGUUUGGGAUUGCAGGGAGAUUGCGUUACGUGUGGUGAGAAAGUACGAUGGAAAAAUACCCUGCUUCUUUUCGUACGUAAUAUUGCAUUCCGUAUAUCGCGAUGAGUCGGUUAUGAUAUAUUUUCUGCAGUCUCAUCAUAGAACGCAGAAGCAUAUUCGUAUAUACUUUUAUCCCAACUUCAUUUUAUCUAAUUAUGUUAGAUGGGUCUCAAAACCAAACUAAGUCUAAUAAGUUAGAGUUGGGUGAGCUAAUAAGUUGAACGGAGUUGCAAUCCAUAAUAGAUAUAACUGCAAUAGGCCCAAUAAUAGACCUAACGUUUAGGUGGAUUAAGUCCGGUCGAAGCCAUGGCUGUAGUUGAGCCCUUACGUUCGACGGAUGCGCCCUUCCUAUUAGCAUGUAUUUUGGGGACGGUUGAUUAGUGCUUAAGAUCCAUAAACAUGUGGCUAUAUGCUUCUCCAAUGACGAUUGCGACCGCAAUUUUAAAGCAUAGAGGAAGGAAUAAUCGUAAGCACUUUUAGACUUUUUGGAUAUUUUAGAGUAUAAAAAUGGUACUUUUAGCCACCGCAUUACCAAACUAGAUCUCAAUGCUAGUAGCAAUACGAAUAAAUAUUAUGUCAAUAGAGUAAGUUCUUCUUUCAGUUGUGCCCUUAAAACGAAGCUAGGGCCGCGAUGCGAAUGCUUGUGAGUGAAUUAAGUCACAUACUAGCUGGUAUGAAGCAAGUCAUUUUGCAGGAUCAACCCCUAACCUCGGAAGCCAUUCACGGUACUUUAUGAAACAACACUACUUACAACAAGGCCAAAUAAAGAAAAAAAGAAUGAAUGAAAUAGAAUAGUUAAUCUUAAGUGGUUUAUGAGAAAACACGCAGAACGAAUUAAGAAAGAUUACAGAGGCUGUAACUGAGCUCUAUUCCAUUAGCUUUUCAUUGAGCAUGUGAGUUUUCAAUGAUUUAGCAGGAACUCUUUGAGAUGGCAAUUGAUUACUUAUUUUCCGCAUUUUAUGUUAGUUUUCAAUGAUUUCCCUUCGUUUCAAGCAUUUUAUGUUGAUCACAAAUUUUUGGAGUUCUAUUUCAUCAAUGUCCGAAAUUUGAUCCUUCAUAUGACAGUUGCAACGAUAAUUGGCACGGUCGUCGCGUAUUUAUUGAUACCGAUGAGAUCGCUAGGACAAGACAGUUGGAAGAUUGCAGCAGCACUCAUGAGUAGUUACAUCGGAGGAAGUAAGAUCAAAAGUUUUCUGUUAUUAUUGUCGGAUUGUUGGCGCUAACCAUUAAUUCCAAAAGCUCGAGCUGUUAGAAAUACGCAACCAAUUCACUUAUACAUACUUGAAUAUUGAAGAUUGAAGAUUGAAUUGAUUGCCUGUAAAAUAAAAGAUCAAACAUCAAAAAAUUUGGUUCUAUUCACAUCAUUCUUUCCAGAAAAUCUGUACAAGGCAUUCCUACUUUCAGACAAAUUAACUGAAACUGACUUCAGACUCUUGUUGCUGACCGGAAUUUACUGAAAUUUUAGACCUGAAAUGUGUUGAUUUUGGUUAGAACAUUUAUCCGAGCGAGUAGGAUUGUAUUCAUUCACUGACUAUGCUGUAAAUAUGCCACAUUUUGGUGAUCUCAAAUCGACUAAUUCGGUUGCAUCCUCUUUCUUUUUUUUAUUCUAGCCGUCAAUUUCGUUGCCGUCUCAGAAGCUCUUGGCGUUUCUCCAUCAGUUUUAGCGGCAGGGGUGGCUGUCGACAACGUCAUCUGCGCGGUAUAUUUCACAUUACUUUUUGCUUUAGCAUCUAAAGUACCACCAGAAGCUACAACUUCCACUGCAGGUGUGUUUUCCCUGCUCAAUUUCCGUCGUGUUUCAACAGUUAGGAUCAAAAAUGAUUCUGUCGCAUUACUUCGUAUCGCAGAAGUCGUGAACUUGUAAUAUGAUAGAUGCUAUGAACACUUGAGCAGGUGUUCAACUGGAUUCUGAAUCUAAGAGAGAAAACAAGUUACCUGUACUAGAAAGCGCUACGGCGAUCGCUGUAUCCUUCGCAAUCUGCAAAGUAGCUGCAUAUAUAACUAAUAAGUUGGGCACUCAGGGAGGGAUUCUCCCCUGCGUUACGGCUAUUGUGGUCGCCAUGGCGACCUUGUUUCCUUCACAGAUUGGAGCCCUCGCCCCUGCCGGUGAGGCCAUGGCUUUGAUUCUUAUGCAGGUAAAGAUUCCUCUCGUCACCGACUUAUUCUCUGCGCAUGUCCAUGCACGCACACAUACACAAUCAAACGAAAGGCGCACGUAUGCAGAUGCAUCACACUCGUACUGCACGAGUACAUAUGCACACAAUCGAGCAUACGUGCGCAAACACCAAUGCGCGGAUGCACACACAUUACGAACUGCAAAAGCGGAAAGCAUAAUGUCUACAUCGGAAUCGCAAAGUGAUUUUAGUUAACUUAUAUUUGCUCAUGUGUAACGUAACAGGUGUUCUUCGCGGUGGUGGGAGCAAACGGUAGCAUUUCAAACGCGCUCACGACGGCGCCGAGCAUCUUCUUAUUCGCGUCGGUGCAAGUGCUGGUCCAUCUUCUAGUGAUCCUAGGAGUCGGACGGCUCCUUCGGUUCGAUCUCAAGUUACUUCUCAUAGCUUCAAAUGCCAACAUCGGCGGCCCGACAACAGCUUGUGCAAUGGCGACCGCGAAAGGCUGGAGUUCCAUGAUCAUUCCCGGUAUCCUCGCAGGCAUCUUCGGAAUCGCCAUCGCGACGUUUCUGGGAAUAGGCUUUGGAUUGUUCGUUCUGAGACAUAUUUAAUGGUUUGCGAGUUUGGUUGCAAAUAGAAAUUUUGUGCAUUCCUAUUGACAUAUCAUCUUGCAAUGUAAUGCCAUAGCUUAUUUGUGCAUAAAACUUACACUGUCUAAUCAGUAUUCGAGAUACCUACCAACUGUGCUAUAGGAUAAUCUUCAAACGAACAUGUAAUGUUGAUGUCUAACUUGCGUAAAAGUAUAAGAUUUUGUUUUUCUUUUUCGCUUUGUUUCAACUUGAAAUUACUAUAUUACCCUUGAAUUGCUAUGUCACCAUCUAUGCUACAGUAGUUGGUUGGUAUGGGAGGGUCCUGAUCAAGAGGUCGGAGGUUCGAUCCUCUGCUCGCGCUUUCAGAAAAAGAGUGAUUUAAUUUAAACUCCAGUGUAUUGGAAAAAUAAAAUGGCUUAAUUAUAUUCUACUACACUGUACACUGUAUUUUAAGUUUAUUUUUAUUUUUCUACCUUAUACUAUUUUCUGUUCCCAUAGAUAUCACUAAAUUAUAUUUUCUCUCCAAUUUCUACAAUACUUUUAACAAAUCUCUUAUCUUAGACAAAAUCUAAUUUUUUAUUAAAAAAACACCGGUUAAAUGGUUAAAAAAAAUAAAAUAAUUCUCUGCAAUAGGCUCAUUAAAAGUUUCUAUUAAACUAUUUUUAAUUAUUUUUUAUGUCAAAAUGAGUUGAAUAUAUACCCUACUACUUUUAACCAGCAUUUCUAAUAACUUUUAUGUAAAAUUACAUGCUUAUUGCUUAUAGUCUAAAAAUCCAAAAAAAAAAAAAAGAAUAGUUAAGCUGGUGCUCUGCAGAAAUAAAACAAAAAACAAUAGUUCAAUAUGUAAGUGAAAAAACAAAAAAAAAAAAAACAAAAAACCCUGUAGAUUACAAUGUAGUAUAAUGUAAUUUAACCAAAUAAAAUAUGUGAAUACUCUGUAGGUUUCUUGGGUGGACCUCCAUGUUCACCCACACCCAGAAACAAAAAAAAAAAAAAAAAAAAAAAAGAAAAAAAAGGAAGAGAGAGAGAGAGAGAGAGCUCAAACUUGCUAUGAGAGAAAAAUAAAUAAUGUUCAAUUAUCCUUUUUACAAGGUUUUACAUCUCAGCUCCUCUCAAACACAACUCUUCCAGGUAAUGCCCAAAGCCAACAACAUUAGCAAUCCAAACAAAAAAAAUACUCCCCCCCCCUCAUAAAUAUCAUCUUAAGAACAAAAUUAAUACAAAAACAAGAAAAUUAAGCACCAUCACCAACAUGAGAGAAAAUUGAUUCUGCUCCUGGGAAUGGUUUGUCGAAGGAAGCCCCGAAAAGAGCAUCGCAGCGUUCGAUUCGCUGUAUCUCGUUCGUGCUUAUCCGUCGUAACCCUGUUAGUCCCACAUAGAAAGAUUAUUGAGAAAAUAAAUGAACAUAUGUCGAACCAGCUCGCCGGUAUUAAUAACUUUGAGCUUCAGCAUUUCUGAACUUACAUUUUUUUACUCAUUCUGUUCAAGUCAUUAAUACUUGGUUUGAUUAGUACUAAAAACACUACUCACACAAAUCACAGAGCUGAUGAAUCUCGGAAUUCGUGCUUUGUUCCGAUUUGUGCUUGUUCGAUGAGAUUCUGCUCCUCGGGUGUUUCUUCUUCAUCUUCGGAUUCUUCAUAAUCGGAGUCUUCUGGGGACCCUACGAUACUAUUUGGCGGCUUGUCGCCGGCAUUAAUGAGAUUUUUGAACCACGUACCAGCGAAAAGUGGGUCCGGGCUAUUUGAAUUGCUAGGGUUCUCUUCUGUCACUGGUGUAGUGUUUGAGGAUGAACCAGUGAAGAAUCUGUAGGCCACCUUGCCGGCAUUUAGAAUUUCUUCUUUGGCUUGUCUAAACUGCACUCAAAAUAGAGAAAACAGAAAAGGAUUUAUAUGAGUAGCUAGCUCAACUAAAUUGAAGCAGAAAUUUUCAAAUACAUGAUGCGUGAAGCAUAAUGUGUAAUAAAUUUGUUCCUUGGAUGCCUAAAAAUGGAUCAAUUUUCUGAAAAUUUUGAGCUGGAAGUAUGUAAGACCAAGAAUUUAAGUGCCGUGGCACGGGAUCGUGCCAGAAACUUGCCGGCACGGUACGGCACAGUGCGUGCCGAUGCGUGCCAGUCAAAAAAAUUUCCGGUCAAAAUAAUUCUUGUGUGUCAACACAUAAUAGCAUAAAAUAUUUAUUUUAUUUAGCAACAAAAUAUUCUAACUAUUUAUUAUGUCUUUUUAUCACAUCUUUUAAACUUUAUUAAGAAAAUUACUUACUAAUUUAAAGAAUAGAGGGUUUUGAACUGUGCCAUCGGCACGGGGUCUGUAUCGUGCUGGUAUCUUGUUGGCACAGUACGACACGGUGAAUACCGCCCGUGCCGACGGGCGCUUAAAACCUUGUGUAAGACUUUCAAUAUUUAUGAGUAAAAAAUCAAAAAGAAAAAAGCGUCUUCUCUAUCAGCUUAAGCUUUUGGAACACCACUUUUUUUUUUUCAUGGUAUUAGAACAGCGGGUCCGCUUAGUUCAAACUCAAAAGUCCCGGCCUCUUAAAAGAUUCAAAACUCAAAAAUGAGAGGGGGGAUGCUUAGUAUUAACAUAGUAAGAUAUCUAUCAACAGCAUUUGAUGAAAUCUGUUGUAUCACGUAGCAACUGAUGUAUAAUUGGCACCAAGGUCGGUGUCAUGAGCAUAUAGUGGGACAUGAAUAUCUGUUACUGAAUUUUUUUCCAAGAGCCUAUGUUAUUGACGACUCAAUCUCCAUUACACGAUCAAUUAUAUCUAUGUGAAAAUUCCAGUUCACAAACUGCGUAGUAUAGAAGCUAAUUAUGAUACAGCAGAAAACAGAAAAAAGGGAAGGGUGUGCCAAAAUAAUUCAGAAAUCAAAGAAGCUGAAUUUCAAACCAACCUUUGUCGCUGUAGUUUCCGCCACCUCCAUUGCCGCAUCACCAGCAUUGGCAAACCGAUUAACCCAACCUGUGAUGUCGCAACACCUGACGUUAUAAACAGUAAAACAAUUUCCCAGCAGCAUAGAAUACACUUUUAUCUAACUAACAAAUAUAAGAGAACAGCGAAAAUACCAAACGGGAAUAGAAAUGAAUCACCUUUCACGGUUACACUAUAGUAAUAAGUGCUCAUCUAAUCACAAACUCUGCGACUUCAAAAGCAUACUCUAAUAGUACAAGAUAGGUGGCAGCAAAUAACUUUUCUAAUAGGAACUUCAACAAUGGUAAACUGAUCAAGACAGGAGAAUAUAUACAGGGCAUGUAGUUUCUUCCCAAAUCAUCUGACGCAGUUCCGUAGAUCGAUUUUCAAUUUAUAAUUGUAUUUUGUCUACACGAUAAGCACUCAUUGCACCCAUUCACUUCAUAUAUCCAGCCUUAAAUUAUCUAUCCUACACUCCCCUUUGUACUCCCACUGUUUUUGGCUACUCGACCCAAAGUAUUGAAAAUGCUACAUUUCUUGGCAAUCGAUAUUUACGAAAAUACAUCUUUUCUCCCACUCCUAAUACCGCCCUAGAUAUCUUUGGUCUUCGUCCUACUUAAAGCCUCCAGCUUUGUCAUUACUGUUUGAACUUUAGAUUACUGCAUUACAUAAAUCUUUCAAAAGAAAAAAACAAUAACAAUGGCAUAAAAUAGGUCAAAGGAAGCUUCUGCUCCAUCCAUAGUCCAGACCUUGUAAAGCAGUUGUCACAAAGAAAGAUAGGGAAACAUAUUCAUUAGCUAAAGAAAAUUCAAAUUAGUUAAGGGCCCAUUAGACAAAUAAACAGUAAAAAAAAGAGGCACUUAAAGCAUUAUCUUCAAGCAAAAAUUACUUUACAAAAACGAAAGGAGAAUAUGCAUUACCUGGAAGCUUAGGCACAUCAAGCCUCUCGCAGAAAGCAUCACAGAAAUGAUUGCAGUUUCUAGAUAGAAGGUCGUACGAGUUCCCAGGCCAUUCUCUGCUAAGUUCUCUCAAUAUUUGAUUUACCGUGAAAAUGGAACAGCUUGUGUUGCCAAGUACGAUGGACUCACGAAAGGUAUACAUAGGAUUCUCUCUCAGUGGACAACUGAAAACUCCACUACCAUAGUCGCAGUAUCCAAAGGACCAUUCUUCAUCUCCGUAGACCUGCCAAUACAGAUUAACGAGAUAUGUACUAAAAGUAAUUAAACUUGGAAUAUUACUGCAUGGUAAAGUAAAAAACUUCAUAAUUCAUGAACAAUUCAAUAAGGACACCGCUUGAGAACGUAGAUAAUAGAAAUUAACAGUUGAAAGUAUACAGAUUUAAACAGUUUUAGAUGAAUUUUCAACAGCAGUAGUCAAGAUUAUACAGUUGAAUAAGCUACACAGCAUGACAAGAUGAAAAAUAAGUUAAGACAAUACAAAGGCAAAUACAAAACACUGAUAUGAAAGGUCUUCAAUUGUGGCCAUAGCACAAGUAUUCAGCCUUUUUACCAAUGCUGUAUAUACCUUUGUCUGCAUGAGUGUCUUCAGUUGUUUUGCCUUAGUUGAGAAUUGAGAUGUUUCAUGACUCUCUAUGGUUUUUUAGUGUUUUCCCAUAUGGCCAUAUACCACUGUGAAAUCUACGAACAACAGAAUCAACUUCCUCCCACAGAAGACUUGUUAAAUUUGUUAACGCUUCUCUUACCAACUUUUAGAGCCUCUAAAUGCAAUCAUUACAAUCACUUCCAUAGAGAAGUUCAUUUCAUAACUUGUUUCUAGCAAAUUGUUACAAGUUGCAGUAUGAUUAGCUUUCCCAUCAAUGGUCAACCCUGAUAACCAACUUGCAUGCCAACCGAUUUUCUUCUCAACAUUAUCAUUUACUACGUAUCUCCAAAAGAAAAAGGCACAGCGAGUUCUUUCCAUAUAACCUAAUGAUUAGCAGUAGAAAUCAGCAUGAUAAUAGAGUAAAUAAAUGAGAGACAAAUUUGCAAGAACAUACAUCAAGAUUUCCAUGUGACACCCCAAUAGUCCCACGUCACAUGGAGCAGGGAUAAUAAUUGGGUAUGUAAGGACUACGGACUCUACUACUGAUAACUCAGUUUAAACAUUUUGGGCAAGUGGUUUGGGCCUAGCGAGUUAUUAGUGCUACCGAGAUAGGCCGUCACAUUUGAAGGCUAAAAAAAGACCAUACUGGUGCACAAAACUGCUACCGUAGCAGGGUCUAUGGAGGGCAAAAUUCAUGCAGUCUCAUCCCCACUACCGGAAAGGUUGUUGAUGUGGACCAAAUCUGCUUUAGAAGACACUGGAAAACCUUAGCAACACAAGUGUACUGCAUUGAUCUGCAAAUUUCACGAUAAAGUAACAGAAUUUGUACACUGCAUUGAUCUUGGGCUCUACCCAUAACAGCAAACAAAUAUCUCAUUUUCCUCAACCACUAACAAAAUUUCCCAUCACAAUAUGUCCCAAACUUCGACUUUAUUUGCCCUUAAAAACGCACAAAAAGAACUAGGUAUGUAGAAAUCGGCCCCAACUCAUCUCAAAUUUCACUGUACACAAGUGAAAUUUGAUGAAAUUCCCUAUCUGUGGCCCUAUUAAAUCUAUACUAUAUUGAUCUGAAUUCAUUUCAACCAAAAAUCAUACAUUUUUCCAAUUCCAACCACAUAUCCUUCCAAAAAAAUCCAAUUAAUUGCUCUUAAAACACGCAGAAUGAAGCGAGAAUACACCAAUCGGCUCUAACCCAUCACGAAUAUUACGGAAAAAACUGGAAUUUAAUGAAGAGAACCAAUUUUUGGACCUAUUUCGGGACAAUUACUAUACUGCAUUGAUCUGUGUUUCACCAAAACAGCACAACGAAACCCUCAUUUGAACCAAAAAUCGCGUAAUUCUCAUCACAAAGCGUCCCAAAAUUCCACUAAUCGCCCUAAAACAAACGCACAAAUCCGCUACAACCAAUCUCAAAUCGUGCAACAAAAGAACCAAAAAAAAAAAAAAAAAAAAAUUAAAAUNGAUCACGUCGAUCCCAGCUUCAACGUCGGCGCCCCCAUCUCCGCAUGCGCUCCCCAAUACUCCCCUCCGACGACGAACGUCGUCCUCUACCCUCCUCUGGAUUACCCACCGCCGCCGGAGAUUUAUCCUCCUCCUCCUCCUCCUCCUCCUCCCCCCACCCCCCCUCUCUCUCUCUCUCUACACCGCUACUACUCAAUGAUUCGUCUCUCUCUCCCUCUCUAGGUCUUAGGGUUUCCUCUCCGAGGACGAAGAAGAAGAAGAGGGGCUCUCUCUCGCUCUCUGUGUGUGUGUCGAAGAAACCCCAAAACUACGAUACCGUUACGGCGUUACCACGGGGAGUUUGGGGGAGGGCGGAGUUGCGAUUCCGCUCCGCUCCGUUCCGUUCCGUUAUGUUCCAUUGGUGGACUUUUUUCUAAAAUAACCUUUAGAAAAUUUUUAAUUCGCCAAAAAUCCUUUCAAAAUGUUAUUUGGCUAGACAAAAAAUUAAAAAGCUGUGAAUUAUUUCUCAUUUUAAGAUUAUUAGCGUUGCAUAUUGUAUUUGAUUUGUUAGAAUUUUUAUGUAGUCGUUAAAAUUUCACACCGAAAAUAAAAAUUACCGGUGAAUCGUUUAUCACUUUUUUAAAAAAAAAUGACAGUAAAUAAUUUACUGUCUUUCAAAUUUUAUUAAACUCAAACCCUUUAAAAAAUUAAUUACAAAAAAAAAGUAAUUGACGAAUAAGUUUAAAUGAAUUUUCUAGGACCUUAUUGGAAACAUUUUAAUUUCUUUCUCUUAAGAAAGCUCCAAACUAGGGUUGAGUUUAAAAUUUUGUAUAGAUUGCAGAGAUAGUACGUAACACAUGACAAAAAUACAUUUUAAAAGAAUAUUUUAUGUAUUUUUAUAAAUCAUAUAUAUAAUGUAUUCUACAAAUCGUGCUAAUUAGCAAGGCUAGCAAUCCAGCUCAUUGUUUGCGAGCCAGCUCGCAUUUAGCUCCAAAUGAGUUCUACAUCAAUUACUCGUUUAAUAAAUAAGUCGAACACGAAUUAGAGACAGCGGACUUGUGUUUAGCUCGAUAUUAAAAAUUUCUCCUAUUUGGAUUUUAGGUCAACCCAAAUAUAAAGAGACUUUUAUUUUGUGAACUCAAUUAUUAGAUUAAAUUAAAUUUCUAAUUUUCUAAUUCUUUUUCAACUUUUCACCUAGUAGUAUGUUUAAACAAUCUACCUUACUAUUCGCAAGCUAUCGCAUAUUCUGCUCAUUAAUAAACAAGUCGAACAUGAGCUUGAUUUUUUUGCUCGAUAUUUUAAUGCGACGGUUCGUAUUUCGCACAUUUAAUAAACAAGCAAACAUGAGCCUGUGAGACCCCAAAUAGUCCUAUAUAUGAGGUAUAAUAGGGCUACACUCUUAACUCGGCUUAAGUAUUUUGGGUGGUAGCUAGACCCAAGAGGUUAAGAGAGUUAAGUGUGCUAGGACGGGAGUAGUUCUAGGAUGAGUGACCCCCUGAAAAGUCGGGCGUCACAGAGCCUGUUCUAGUCUGCUCGUGUUCGAUUCAUUGACGGCCCUACUGGUUAGGCUAAAAAAUGACAUUUAUAAUCCCACCUAAAAAAAAUAGAAAAAUAUAUUUCUAUGUACUUACGGCUCAAUAAUAUUGGCACGGGUCGGGCUAUAAACCCGAGUAGCAGUGGGCCAAGCUGGGCCUCCUUUUGGGCUUACAUUAAGGAGCCAAUUCUAGGCCCAGUACACCGCUAAAUUUUCGAUGCUAUUUUAGGUCAAUAACUAAUAUAAAAUGACCUUGGUCGGGUCAGGUCGGGUCAGGUCGGGUCGGGUCAAAUGUUGAGAAUAUCGAAUUAGGUCGAGUCAUCCUAAGAAAUCGAAAAUCCAAACUCGCUCUAAAACUCUUAUUGGGUCUCUUUUAGUAUCAACUCAAACUGAUCAGACGAGUCGAAUUUAAUCUGCACUCUUUCGGUGUGUAAUUUUCUAGCACAGUGUGGGUAAACUUCAGUGCAUUCCUUCUAAAUUCAUAAAUAUGACUAAGUGUGCACUGCCACAUUUAUUAUCUUUACUAGUGAAGAGACCCGCGCUUCGCAGCGGACGGAAACUAUAAAAGCUACCAAUAAAAAAUAAAAAGUAUCCAUCAAUAAAAAAAAGAAAAAUAAAACUUAUCACAAAAACAAUUAGAUAUAGAUAUAUAUAUAUAUAAUUUUAAUUUUAAUAAUAAUUAAUAAUAAGGAUGAUGUAAUAAGAAUAGUAAUAAAAGAAUUAUUUUUCAUUCUCAAAGUGAAACAACUAAUUGAAAAUGAUCUUUCUUCGAUACUGAAUAUUAUCGGAAUCUAAUUCAAAACUUGCAAAACAAUAAUUGAUAAAUAAUUUUAGAGAAAAAGAAAAUCAUAUUCAAAUGGAACAACAACUUGUAUUGAGAUGAUUUAAUGGUCUUCAAAUUGACUAUUAAAUCUUGUUCUCCAAAGAAGUAAAAAUUUUUCAUGUAAAAGGAGGCAUUAAGACAGUUCGAAAAACUAAAAAACAAAAAAAAAUCAAAAAACGAAAUAAUUAUUUUAAUAAAAAAUUUCAUAUCAUAAAACAUCUAAAUAAUAUAUAUAUAUACCUGCGCGCUUAUCAUCUUGAACUUUCUUAGUAACUCCAGGCUGUUUAUCGAUAUCAGGAUGGUACUGAAAAAAUAAAAAAUAAAAAUCAAUACAAUUGUGCAAAUCCAACAUGAAAGAAUGUACAGAUUAUAUUAUUAAACAUGCUGAAGAAUUCUAUAGAUAAAUAAAAGUAGAGAAUUGAUUAAUCUGUAUUAAAAAAGGCAAGAUGGUAAAGAAAAUGGCAAUGAAGAAGCAGGAGAAGAAACCACAACUUAUGGUGAAGAGAAAUGGUUGCAUGCCGGAAAAAUAAAUUGUCAUAUGAAAAAGAGAAACGGUCGCAUGGAAAAGAUAACUUUCAUAUGGAAAAGAGAAACGGUCACAUUGGAAAGAUAAAAUAUCAUAUGAAAUUAUGGCGAAGAGAAACGGUUGCAUGGCCGGAAAAAUAAAUUGUCAUAUGGAAAGAGAAAUGGUCGCAUGGAGAAGAUAACUUACAUAUGGGAAAGAGAAACAGUCACAUUGGAAAGAUAAAAUGUCAUAUAAAAUAGAAAAACGGUUGAAGAAAGAGGAGAGGUCGAUUCAAAGAGAGCAAAAGAUAAAAUGUCAUAUGAAAAAGAGAAACGGUUGAAGGAAGAGGACAAGUUGGUUCAAAGAGAGCAAAAAAAUAUAAAAAAUUAAAAAAAAAAAAGAGGACUUGCCAUGUCAUCAGUUUUAUUGGGUAUUCAUAUAGAGUUAUAGAUUAUAGAUCCUUAGCUCUCUACUUUUUAAAAAUAAUUAAUUAGUGGGUGAACACACACACACACACACACAUAUAUAUAUAUAUAUAUAAUAAAGGUUAAUUUCAUACAUGCCCCUACAAAUAUAGCGAAUUAUAAAUAUAUCUCUAUAAAAUUCAACUUUCAAAUAUUGUUACUACAAAAAUUCUAAUAUUUUCAAAUAUAUUCCUCUGAAUUGUUAUCGUUAAAGCAUUGUUUAUUUUAUAAGUAAAAUGACUUUUUUGCAUCACAAAUAUGUCUCUCAAAAAGUCUCAACUGUUAAUUAAAGAGGGGUAAAAUGAUCAAUUUAUCUCAUUAAUUAAUUAGGAUUAAGUAUGUUACCUAUGAUUAACUUAACAGUAAGAACAUAUUUGAAAAUAUCAGGACUUUUAUAGAGACAACAUGUGAAAGUCGAACUUUAUAAAGAUAUAUUUGUAAUGACCUGUAUGAAAUUAACACUAAUAAUAAUUACUCUUUAAAGUGCAUACCAACGCCCUUAUCUUGUUUUUAAUUGCAAUAGUUCAUGCUGUAUUUGGCUACUCUUAAGUGGAGAACCAUAAUUGCUCUCACUACUUUAUUACACUUUCCUAUAGUUUACUCUUAAGGACAAUGCUCAUAAAGGCUUUAAUUAUUGUCACAACCACUUCUUUAUAAAAUAGUAGCCACUACAUUAAGGUUCCCUUUUUGAGGAGAACACGCUAGAUAAUCCGUGGACAGAUCAUUAUAUUUACAGAUUACAUAGAUAUAAAUAAAAUUUAUUCAUAAAUUUUUAAAUAAUUAUUUUUUUAAAGAAAAACUUCAAAAACCUUCCAUGUGGUUUCGUAGUUUCUCACUUUACUCCCCUAUGGUUUAAAAUGUAUCAAUUUGCCCUCCUGUGGUUUCUUUUUUCUCUUUUUCUUAUCAAUUUCAUUAUUUUUUUUCUUAAAUCAGUGAUAAAGUUAAAAUUAAAGAGUACUAAAGUGAAUAUUUGAUAAAUCUAGAUUGGUAUCUAAAGUUUUUUGUAUAUAAUUUAAUGAAAUAUUAACGAAAAAAUUACCGAAAAGAUAAAAACGAAACCACAUGGGAGCAAUUUGAUACAUUUUAAACCACAGGGGGGCAAAGUAAGAAACUACGAAACCAUAGGNNNNNNNNNNNNNNNNNNNNNNNNNNNNNNNNNNNNNNNNNNNNNNNNNNNNNNNNNNNNNNNNNNNNNNNNNNNNNNNNNNNNNNNNNNNNNNNNNNNNNNNNNNNNNNNNNNNNNNNNNNNNNNNNNNNNNNNNNNNNNNNNNNNNNNNNNNNNNNNNNNNNNNNNNNNNNNNNNNNNNNNNNNNNNNNNNNNNNNNNNNNNNNNNNNNNNNNNNNNNNNNNNNNNNNNNNNNNNNNNNNNNNNNNNNNNNNNNNNNNNNNNNNNNNNNNNNNNNNNNNNNNNNNNNNNNNNNNNNNNNNNNNNNNNNNNNNNNNNNNNNNNNNNNNNNNNNNNNNNNNNNNNNNNNNNNNNNNNNNNNNNNNNNNNNNNNNNNNNNNNNNNNNNNNNNNNNNNNNNNNNNNNNNNNNNNNNNNNNNNNNNNNNNNNNNNNNNNNNNNNNNNNNNNNNNNNNNNNNNNNNNNNNNNNNNNNNNNNNNNNNNNNNNNNNNNNNNNNNNNNNNNNNNNNNNNNNNNNNNNNNNNNNNNNNNNNNNNNNNNNNNNNNNNNNNNNNNNNNNNNNNNNNNNNNNNNNNNNNNNNNNNNNNNNNNNNNNNNNNNNNNNNNNNNNNNNNNNNNNNNNNNNNNNNNNNNNNNNNNNNNNNNNNNNNNNNNNNNNNNNNNNNNNNNNNNNNNNNNNNNNNNNNNNNNNNNNNNNNNNNNNNNNNNNNNNNNNNNNNNNNNNNNNNNNNNNNNNNNNNNNNNNNNNNNNNNNNNNNNNNNNNNNNNNNNNNNNNNNNNNNNNNNNNNNNNNNNNNNNNNNNNNNNNNNNNNNNNNNNNNNNNNNNNNNNNNNNNNNNNNNNNNNNNNNNNNNNNNNNNNNNNNNNNNNNNNNNNNNNNNNNNNNNNNNNNNNNNNNNNNNNNNNNNNNNNNNNNNNNNNNNNNNNNNNNNNNNNNNNNNNNNNNNNNNNNNNNNNNNNNNNNNNNNNNNNNNNNNNNNNNNNNNNNNNNNNNNNNNNNNNNNNNNNNNNNNNNNNNNNNNNNNNNNNNNNNNNNNNNNNNNNNNNNNNNNNNNNNNNNNNNNNNNNNNNNNNNNNNNNNNNNNNNAAACCACAUGGGAGCAAUUUGAUACAUUUUAAACCACAGGGGGGCAAAGUAAGAAACUACGAAACCAUAGGCGGGUUUUUUGAAGUUUUCCCUUUUUUUAAUCAUGCCUGCCAGCAGUAGUAUACAAGUUAUCUAUAAAAUGCUUUUUUUUUCUUUCUAUUCUUACAUUUUUCAAACAUAGAUAAUAUAUAUAUAUAUAUAUAUUAUUUUUAAAAGAUCGAAAUAUAACUUAUUGUUUAAAACAUCAUAAUAUACAACAUAUAACAAGAAAAAAAAACACUAGGAGAAAUUAGUUUUAGGAUUUUGGGGAUAGAUAAAAUAAAAGAGUAUUCACUUUUUUAUUUUUUAAAUUUAUUGAAAAAUUUAUAUAUGCCGGUGUCCGUAGGAACUCGCAGGUAAUCCAGAUUACUCAUAAUCUAUACCCACUAGUUUUACCUAAAAUUUUUGGGCAAAAAAUUAGUACACAUACCUACAAAUUUAUGGAUAAUCCAUAGGUACCCGCAGGUAUAAAUUGAGAUUACUAGGUUUAGGUUUGCUACAUGAAACUUAUUUAUUUAUUCACCAAUUAUAGUUUUUUUAAUCUUAUCAAAUACUUUGAAUAAGUAUAAAUUAAAUUAUCUACCACCCCUUUUAGUGUGGCCAACAUGCAUAUGUGCUCUUCAUAAGUGGGGCUUCUAUUUUUUUGACUUUUUUUAGUGGAUGAUGAACCCAUAGGGUUAGUGGGGUUGACUAGUAAUCACCAACUUGUUACAUCAUUUGGUAAAAUUGCACUUGAAUAAACAAUUAAUGUAGUUUUUGGAUCCAAAGAAGCACUAUGCAAAACUAUUUUUUGCAUAUCCAAGAGCCAAUUAAUUGAGCUCUUAACAAUGUAAUUGGACAAUAUAUAAUAUGUUCCUACCACAAAUAGUUGUAAUGAGAUCAUAAUUCUAUGUUCUUAGAUACCUUAAUAAUCAAGAUCAAUCUCACAAUGUAAUUCUUCAAAGCACGUUAUUUAUUAACUUAAAAUUACACAGAAAAUAUAGAAUACUUCGAAUAUUCUUUGUUGUUUGAAAACCUGGCUGAACCAACUGGUCAGAUCGGUUGUAUAAUGAGCUGAUAUUUAAACAACUAACUAAAAAAUGAUUAAACAAUUGAUUGAAAUAGUAAAACCUUGAACCAGUAACAUCUCUGAAUAAUUAUUGUUCAUAAUAAUUUGAGAGAGAGAGAGAGAGAGAGAGAGAGAGAGGGGGUAAUGACAUGGAAUGCACCCAAAGGUGGGAAUUAAUUGGGAAGGUUUGAUAAAAUGGCUCCACAAGAUUUGUCUCUUUGCCCACAAGAGAUAGUGUUUGAUGUUUGCUUCAAGGAAUAAGAGAAAAUAAUCAAGGGUACAAUAGCUUAAAUUUUUUGAGAAAAAUAAUUAUUUCGUAUUGUUUAAUAAAACAUAAGCAUAUCAAACACGCACGUGAGAGGGGGAGUGUUAAAUAUAAAAUAUAUAAAUAUUAUUAUCUGAUAGCUUAAAUUUUGAAAAAAGAAAUGAUUAAUUCAUAUUAUUUAACAAAAAUAUUAUUUUAAUUAAUCAAAUACUCUGUUCUCUCUCUCUAUAUAUAAACAUAUUAACGUUAAUUGCAUACAGCUCCUAGUAAGUAUAUCGAAUAGUAAAUAUAUCUCUAUAAAGUUAAACUUUUUUAUUUUUAUCCCUACAAAAGUCUAGUAAUCACUACAACAGAAUUAGGUUAUAGGGACACAUGUUUGGGACACUUUUGAGUAAGUGUCCCAUUUAUGCUAAAACUUAAAAACAUAUCUACUAAUGCCUAAAUAUAAAGCACAAUCCAACCAAAAAUAAAAGAUUAUUCUACUUAACCCAUCACACCCAGUCCAUUUGGCCGGAUUACAAACAAAAAAGAAAAAAAAAAAGAAAAAUUAAUUAUCAUCUUUUUUUCUCUCUUCACUCAAUCCACUGAAAUUCUAGACGAAGAGCCUUUCCUGUCGUCCUCCUCCGCCACCGCAACCAACGAGAUAGAGUUUCGGUGGUUGCUAAAUGCUUAAAUAAGUGUUGGUAAAUUAGCAGCACUCUUUUAGGUUAUAACGACACUCUUUAACUGUCACUAUAUACCUAGCGACCCCACAUAUAGCAACACUUUUUAAAAGUGUCGGUAAUUUUAGCUAGCAGCACUUUUUUAACAUGUACCUACAUUUAAAAGUGUCGCUAUAGACCGUUUUUGUUGUAGUGAAUAUCCAUUUGGUUUGUUACCGUUAGAGUACUAUUUAUUUUUUAACGGCAUAUAAGUGAAAUAACAAUUUUGCUCUUACAAAUAUAUCCCUCCAAAAGUCCUAAUUGUUAGAAUUAUGAAGAAAUAUAGUCCAAAAAAAUAUUUUAUCCAAGAAUAUAAAAAGGGUAAAAAAGUCAAUUUAACUCAUUCACUAACUAAGGUUAAAUAUUUUACUCAUGAAUAACUACAAUUUUCUACCGAAUCCUAAUAGUAGGGGGUUUAUUUGAAAACAAUAGGUUUUUUACAAGAAUAAAUAUGAAAAGUUGAAUUUUAUCAAAAUAUACCUGCUUAUGACGUCUCAAUAGUCCCACAUCAGAUGGGAAUAGAAUUGUAUUUGGUAUAUAAGAGACUAUAGACAUUAGUAAUAUAAUAAUGGGGCUUAAGUAUUUUGGACUAAUGGUUUAAUUCUAACAGUUAUUAUUACUAGUUGGCCGAAUUAUUAUAAUGCUAUUUGAUCCGAUAUAUUUACAGAGAGCCGUAUACAAUUAACCUAAUACUUUAUAUGGAAGAGUGGGGGAGUGGGAAACCUCAUAAGCGUGCACGCAGCCGACAUAUGUAAUGGGAUUUUGGGGGUGGGAGACGAGUUAGGGAAGUAUCAAUUUAGUGUCCUAUGGUUUCAUUUUUAUUUUUUUAUUAUCGAUUUUAUUAAUUUUUUUUAUUAAAUCAGUGACAAAGUUAAAACUAAAGGACACUAAAUUGAAUAUUCGACAAAUCUAAGUGUUGUAUCUGAAGUUUUUUUGUAUAUAAUUUAAGAAAAUAUUAAUAGAGAAACUGACAAAAAGAUAAAAAUAAAACUAUAUAAUACUAACUCGAUACACUUAAACUAUAAAAUACUAAAAUAAAAAAAAAAUACGAAACUAUGAGGAUGGUAUUUGAACUAUUGAAGUUUAGCCCCUUUUUUUUAUUUUUAUAACUCUAGUGUUUUUGUGUGUGUGGACUGUGGAGUGGAGUUAUGUGUUUCCUAAUUAAGAAUGUGCGCAUGUGAUUGCAAGGAGUAAGUGGUACCCACCUCACCGGCCCAAAUCGCCAAAGAAAUUCUAAAAAUAAAAUAAAAUACAAAAAAAAAUUGUAAAUAUUUGUUUUUUAUUUUUUGGUAAAUUUUAAAUACCACCCUGUUUGGCGUUUUCUCACUUUACUACUCUGUGAUUUAAAGUGUAUUAUUUUAGUACUGUAUAAUUUUUUUUUUUUUUUCGUCAGCGGCUCUCUUAAUUAUCCAUUAAAUCAUACAUAUAAAAAAAAUCAGAUACCCCACAUAUAGUUUAUCGAAUAUUCACUUUAAUAACCAACCGUUCCUAGUGCAAGUGGCAAAAAAUUUGGUGGUUGGUAACCGAGGUCCCAAGUUCGAAUUCUAAUUGAUUCACAUUUCUAGCUAAGUUUAUUUCUAAAUGAAAUAAACAAAGUGAGUAGCAUACUACCUAUCUCUUAAAAUAUAUAUAUAUAUAUAUAUAUAUAUAUAUAUAUAUAUAUAUAUACUUUACAAAAAAAUUAAUAAAGAAAUAACAGAAAGAGAAAAGUACAAAACUGAUGCAAUUUUAAACCACAAGAUAUUAAAGCGAGAAAGCGCAAAACCAUAGGGUGGUAUUUGAUUUUUUUUCUUUAUUUUUUCUUUCCGGUUUUUGAAAUAUCGAUAUUUUAAGCUCUUAAAAAUAUUAGAUAGUAUCUAUAGCCAGAUACUGUUAAAAAUAUUUCAGUUCAACUCACGUAAAUUAUAUAAUGUGAGACCCUAUAUAUAAAAUAUAAUAUGGCUAAACUUUUAAUCCGGCUUAAGCAUUUUGGGUGAUGGCUUAGCUCAAAAGAUUAAAAGAGUUAAGCGUGUUAGGAGGGGAGUAGUUCUAGGAUGGAUGACUCUUUGGGAAGUAGAGGCGUCACGGUUGGUAUCAGAAUUAAUUAUCAACCGAAAGUAUAAGAUGAGUUUCUACUGAACUAGAAUUAUACAGCGAAGAGAGCGAGACUCUCAUACUGUUGACUGUUGUCGGUGAAGAUAAACUAGCGAGACAAGUCUACUGAUAAUAGUUAGUAAAGAUCUUAAACUAAUUAAUCUCAGUUUGAUUUUGGAGACACAAUUUCUAAUGAAGUCCAAUCAUCAAUCACUUGAUUUGGAGUAGUUGCUUUCACGAGAGGGAAUUGCGCCGGGAGGAGGGCACGCAUUCGCCCGUGACAUUAGGCGACAGGAAUUGAUCAUAAUGCACGGGCUCCUCCUUGCAAGUGAAAACAAAGUUACAAAAAUAAAAUAAAAUAAAAUAAAAUAAGAUAAAAAUAGUGGGGAGUUACACAAUAACAUCCCCUUGAAGAAGAAAACAAAUUUGCUAUAUAAUACUUACAUCAUAUCAUCACUAAUAAGUUAACUGUAUAAUGCACGGGCUCGUCCGUGCAAGUGCGCAAAAAAAAGAAAAAAAAAAAAGUGUGGAGUUACACGAUAAGGUUCCGUUGAAGAAGAAGAAGAAGAAGAAGUCUGUUGUAUAAUACUUAUAUCAUAUCAUUAGAAAUAAAUAAGUUAUAUUUUUAUUCUUAAGAAAAAAAGUAUAAUAAAAAUAUAAAAAUUUUCUAUUAAUUAUAAUGAGACGGACGAAUCUAAGAAAAAUAAUUUUAUUAGUUGGAGACGUCAUGUCAGCAAUAUAACUGGUGCAUUCUAAAUUUUUUCCUCAUUGAAAGGUCCUAAUUUAUCAUUAUAUAAUAUUUUUAAAUCUAAUAUUAAAAAAAUAUCUAAUUAAUUAUUGGAUGAAGAUAAAAUUAAUAUGUGUCAGUAGAUCUGAAGUUUUAUUUAUAUGCAAAGGACAGCAUUUGCUCGGACUCAUGUUGGACUUUCAUAACUUAUUUGUUUGCUAGGAAGUAUAUUACAUAUUGAAAAUAAAUUUAAGUUGAUGGUCUAUAUAUUUUACCGAAAGUAAAGUUCAGAUUGAAGUUGAUUUUUAGACGAACGAGAGCUUAUAUAAAAAUUAUUUCAAUUUUUAACCAUUUGUUUGUAUAACUAUACAACUGAAAUUCUUUCGAUUCUGCUAUUUUUUGGGAAAAAAAUUAAUAAUGUAAAAGGUAGAAAUGUGGGAGAUGAACCGAUAUUUUUUUAAUCUUUUCUUCAAAUAUUUUGUUAUUGACCUUAUUAAGUUUAGACCAAAGGCGACGAUACAGUAAAUCAAGCUAGUUUAAUGAAUAUUUAUGGUCAAAAAUUAUUUCAUCCUCUUUACUUUCGCUGAAAUAAAUAUAUUGAACUGAAGUUCAACCAAAAUUUUUUUUUUACUGCUGUUUAUUUGAAAGAAACUCAAUGGCUUGAAAAUUAUAGUCAUUCUAUCUACUUAUUUAUUUUUUAGAAAUUUUCAUAUUAGUAUGUUAGAUAUAAAAAAUUUACCAAUUUUGAACUUUUAGUAAAUUUGAUCAAAAAAAAAUUUUUUUUUUUGAGAGACAAUCAAAAUAUUUUUAUACCUCUUUUCCUCUCCUUUCUCUCUCUCAUGUUUGUUUUUUUUCCACCCUCUUCAUCUCCCUCUUCUGUCGCUUCCUUUUGCUCUUCAACCUCCAUUGUUCUCACGUCAAUUCUGCGUUCUCCUCUCCUAACUGGCUCACACCUUCACCAUGGCGGUGAUGCGAGGCCCAUGGAUCGAAAAGAUGAGACUGCGGCGGAAACCGUGGCCACGAACGAUGAUGGCGAUGAGGGUGCCACAGAAUUUAAGAAUGAUAGAAAAAAAGAGUGCAUCGGGACAAAGACGACUACUACGACAGAAGGAAAAGAGCACAGUAAUAAAAAUAUAUAUAUAAAAAGUGAAAGAAAAAUUUUAAAAAUAAUAAUAAAUUUUUUUUCCUUUAUGGAAAAGCCAUCACGCGCUGCAACCGCCAAAAGUAAGGCCACCAAGUAGAGAAGAAACAAUAAAAAAAAAUUACUCUAUCUGAGACUCUAAUUUUUCUGUUUAAGUAAUACUUACUUUAUACCAUUUAAAAUUAUUUAAAAUUAAAUUAUAUUAUUUUAUGUUUAGAAUACAAGUUUUCAAAUUUGAAGCACCAUAACUGUACAUAUGAUUGGUGGCAUAAUUAAUUCCCCCAUUUCCCUUUAUAAAUACUCCCCACUCGUCUCUCUCCCUCUCCAAUUCAACCACUCUCACUCUAGUACUACUCUCCCCCUCUCUCUCUCUCUUCUCUUCCACACUAAUAAUUAAUGGAGUUACAAACACUCAAAUUUUAUGUACCUCUCUUUCUUUCUCUCUAUGAACUUGUGCUAUUAUUAUAUAUAGCAUAUAGCAUAUGUAUAGCACUUAUUUACUAAUUAUUAUUAUAAAUUUCGUUUCUCAGCUUCUUUCGCUGUGCCUCCUGGCCGCGGUCGCGCUCGUCCUCCCCGAAUGCGCGGCGGCCCGCAGAUCGAGAGCCGGGGGGGAGCGGCAGGCGGCAGUGGCGGUGGCGGUGAAGGGGCUGAGGUACGCGUCGGCGACGAGCUGCAGGGCGCACUCGGCGGCGGUGACGGAGUUCGGGGCGGUGGGGGACGGGGCGACGUCGAACACGGCGGCGUUCCGGGCGGCGGUGGGGAACCUGAGCCAGUACUCGGCGGCCGGGCGGGGAGGGGGCAUGCUGUACGUGCCGGCCGGACGGUGGCUGACGGGCCCGUUCAACCUCACCAGCUCCUUCACCCUCUUCCUCCACCGCGACGCCGUCAUCCUCGCCUCCCAGGUUGUCCAACUCUGCAGUAUCGUAACCGACUAACCGCAAUAUUACUUACGAAAACAAACAGGAUAUUUUUCUAUUGUCGUUUCUCAACGCACGUUAAACAAUUUCCCUGCAAUCACAAACAAAGCCUUAAGUACUAUCUAACUAACGCCAUUAUAAUAAUAAUAAUAAUAAUAAUAAUAAUAAUAAAUGCGUAGAGUUACUACAUGUACUACCGGAAGGACAGAGAAUUUGAUAUUUUCGAUUUUUUGGUUCUUGAAUCAAGAAUUAUACGAUUAGAAUAAUUGCGGUUCUUCUAGGAUUGAAUAGUAUCCUAAGGACUGAGUGGUCCUUACAGGAUAAUAAUAUUAAUUCAAAUAUUAGAAAUGAUUAAAGGGGCUGAUGGCCAAUAAGUCAGAAGUAUCAGAUUCUCUAUGCUUUCGAUAACAUAGUCAUUCUACUCAAAAUAAAUUAAAUAUAAAUUUUUUUUUGUAAAUAUUUAUUUUUUUUUAUAUUUUUGACUUUUAAAAUUAUAUAGUUUAUUUCUUCCAAAUUCUACCUCAGAAUUCUUCUUUCACUAUUUUGCCUAUUCUUUAUAAUUUAUACUAAAAAUAUUCUUAAAAAUAAUAAAAAAAUAUAUUAAAAUAUAUAUAUAUAUAUUGUAGAACAAGUAAUGGUAGUAUGGUCAUUUCGCUAUCUCCAUUAAUACCGUAAUUUUCUAAAAAUAUUUNAUAUAAGAUCUAGUUAUUAUUUGCUAGUUGAUCGGAUCGUUACAGAAUUCAAAUCUUAAGCUUGUGUUUGGUUCGGGAUUAAGGGGUGGGAUAACCCCUUAACCCCGGUUUUAUUCCCAAACAUAAUUUUAGGGGGGCGGGGUUAGCUAAUCCCAUCCUAAAUGGGCUAAUCCGGGAUAGCCCAUUUGGAGUGGGGUUAGCUAACCUCAGCUAACCCCACCCCACUACUCCAACCAAAUAAAAUAUUAUUUUACCCACUAUCCUUCUUAUCCCAUCUAUUCCAACCAAACAUUAUUUUUUUUUAAUCCUAAACUAACUCCAAUUCUUAACCAAACACAAAAAUAUUUUAACCCCACCUUAACCUGGACUUAAACCCUAUCAUUAGAAUAACUAGUUUUUUCUUGAUUCCGAACCAAACGGUAGCUAAGGAAUUUGUAAUUUUUAGAAUAAUAACAAACUAAGGCUUUUUUUUUUUUUUAAAUCAACAGUGAAUAGUGAAAGGUUGCAAGAAAGAGUCACAUGAUUAGUUUUUGAUCAGGAAGUGACUUCAUGUGGACAGAUACCUGACAGGUUUUCAUUUCUGCAGAAACUGUUGCUUUUUUGUUUGUCCUUUUCAUUUAGCUUGUAGGCUUUCCNAAGUAAUGGUAGUAUGGUCAUUUCGCUAUCUCCAUUAAUACCGUAAUUUUCUAAAAAUACUUUAAAAUUUUAAAUUACGUAAAAUAUUUUUUAAAAUAAGAAGAAAAAUUAAAAAUGAAUAUUUAUACAAUUUUUUUGUAUUUUAACCUCAAUAAAAGUUUUUUUUAUAUACCACUCACCCUCUAUUCAAAAUUUUUUAAAUUUAUCUCUUUAAUUAGUUCCAAAAUACAGCAUCAUUAACCAUUGAAGUAUAAAAAUAGAUACUUUUUUUCUUUUAGAGAAAGAUAGCAUACUAUCCGUUUCGUUUAUUUCGUUUCAGAAAUAAACUUAGCUGGAAAUAUAAAACAACUAAUAAGGCUUCGAACCUGAAACCUUAGGUAUCAACUAUCAAACUCUUUGCUACUUGUUUUAGGAACGGUCCGAUAAAAAAACCGAAUAGCAUACUGCCUUACUCUCAAAAAAAUAAAUAAAUAAAUAAAUAAAUAAAAAUAAAAAAGAAAAGAGAUACUUUUGACAACACACUUUUAUGCUAUGCUAUGCUUUUCCUUGUUACUCUCCAAAACCUAUUAGGGGACCCCAAAAUUUGGCUUUUUUUUUUUAAUGUUUUGUUAAAAGCGAGUUUCAAUUUUGUAAUAUUUCGCUGAGUCUACAACAUAAACUUAAAAAAAAAAAAAAUUGAGAGAAAAUUAAAUAAUGAGAUUAUGCUUCUAAAAAAAGGUUUUUGUUUUUUUGUUUUAUAUUUUAUACUCAAUACCCUGCUUUGCACUGUUUUACGUAAUUAGUAUUUAUUUGCUACAAUCAUUUUUGGGUUGAUUGUUAAUUAUUUCUUGAAAAAAAUUCUCUUCACUUAUGUAAUUCGAUUCUAUUUAGAAUUUUUUUUAUUAUAUUAUAUACUUUGUGAAUUAAGCCCCUCAUAUUUAUUUAUGGCUAAAUACUCUUCUUUUUUUCUUUUUUUUUACUUUCUCCUUUUGACUCUCAAAAUCUAUAUUUUAUUUUUUUAAAUUUUAAGUUAAUGCAUUUAGCUUUCCUCGUCUGUCUAGAUUUCGACUCUAUUAUUUAUAUUUUUUGUAAUUUAUAUCAAAAAUACUCUUCACGGUAAUAAAAAUAUAUUAAAAAUUAUUUUUUUAUAAAAUAAGAAUAAUUCGGUUAUUUUGGUUUCUCCAUUAAUGUUGUAAUUGCCUCUAAAAAUUAGAAAAAAAAAUAAAUUGAAAGAUUUUCUAUAUUUUUAGUUUUUAUUUAUUUAUUUAUUUUUAAAGUUGUUUCUAUAUGCACUUUACUUUGAGAAAUCAUCCUAAAAAUUAGGGGAUUGAAAUUUUUGUUUCUUUUAAACUAUAUAAGAUCUAGUUAUUAUUUGCUAGUUGAUCGGAUCGUUACAGAAUUCAAAUCUUAAGCUUGUGUUUGGUUCGGGGUUAAGGGGUGGGAUAACCCCUUAAUCCCGAUUUUAUUCUCAAACAUGAUUUUAGGGGGGUGGGGUUAGCUAACUCCACCCUAAAUGGGCUAAUCCGGGAUAGCCCAUUUGGAAUGGGGUUAGCUAACCCCAGCUAACCCCAUCCCACCCCACUACUCCAACCAAACAAAAUAUUAUUUUACCCACUAUUCUUCUUAUCCCAUCUACUCCAACCAAACACUAUUUUCUUUAAUCCUAAACUAACUCCAAUUCUUAACCAAACACAAAAAUACUCUAAUCCCACCUUAAUCCUGAAUUUAAUUCUAUUCUUGGAAUAACUAAUUUUUUCUUAAUCCUGAACCAAAUGGUAGCUAAGGAAUUUGUAAUUUUUAGAGUAAUAACAAACUAGGGGUUUAUUUUUUUUAAAAAAAUCAACAGUGAAUAGUGAAAGGUUGCAAGAAAGAGUCACAUGAUUAGUUUUUGAUCAGGAAGUGACUUUAUGUGGACACAUACCUGACAGGUUUUCAUUUCUGCAGAAACUGUUGCUUUUUUAUUUGUCCUUUUCAUUUAGCUUGUAGGCUUUCCCAACCUCCCUACAACCACCCUUGAAUCCCAUCCUAUAAGAACAAUAAUGCAGCUCAGUGCGUAAAAUUUUUUACUAUUUAAAAAUUUAGAUCGACGAAGUCAGUCGGACUGGCCAGAUGGUGGCUCAGUACUCAAAACCGUUUCACUUUAAAAAAAUCCAUUUUGAUUCGUUCUAACCAGCGAUCUGACCAGUGAACUAGCUCGAGUUUACAAGAAUCGAUCGAAUUUUCUCAUUAAGUAUUUUAAUAAUUCAAUUAUAUUGUUUUCUAAUUUGUCCUUUUCAUGUAGCUUCUAGGCUUUCCAAACCUCUCUACAACCACCCUAGAAUCCAUCCUUAAAGAAUGAGAAUAUAAUUCGGUGCAUAGAAUUUUUUAAUAUUUUAAAAUUCGAAUUCUCAACCAAUCGGAUCGGUCGAACGGUGAUUUAGUACUCAAACCAUUUCACUUCAAACUCAUAAAAUCGACCAAUGAACUGGCCCGAUUCUGCGAGAAUCGACCGAAUUUCUUUUUAUUAAAUAUUUCAAUAAUUAACUAAAAAUAUGCAUUAGUUCUUUUUAAUAAUGUAUACUUUGGAUAUAUCUUUAAUUAUAUAUAAUAUUUAGAAAUAAUAUAGAAUAGUGUACUUGGAAUUUUUUUUCUAUUAUUAUAUAUUAGUAUAAGAAGAUAAUAAUUAGUAUUUAUGGUGGUUUGUUAACAUAUUCAACCCAAUGGUUGAAUCACUGAUUGAACCAGUGACGCAUGAUCCGGUAAUAUUUUCGAAUCGUAAACAGUUCCAAAGUUUAAAACAUUGAAAAUUUCUAUAGAUGAAAAUAAUUCAGAUGCUGACGCGCGGUGAGAUGUAUUUUCAUAUGUCCAAUGUUCGUUCAUUCACUUUUCUUCUUAAUUUUCAAAAAUCUACAUUUUACUUCUCAGCAUUUCGAGUUAUCGCAUUCAGCCCCCCUCUGUCAGGAUUACAUCACUAUUCCAUCCAUUUUUUAUAAUUUAUACCGAAAACAUCUUACAAAAUGACAGAAAAAUAUAUUAAUUAUAGAAAAAGUAAAGACAAUUUGGUCAUUUUGCCAUUUCCAUUAACGUCGUACCUCUCUGAAACCAUUUCUGAAAUUUUAAGAGGGGCAAAUGUAGAUUUUUAAAAGUCAGAAAGAAAAAGUAAAUUUACGGGUAUUUACACGGGAGGUUUUUUUUUCGUAUUUUAGCCUUUUUUUAUGACUACUAUUAUGAAAUUUGAGCCUCUAAAACUAGAAUCUCUAAUUUCCAAACCCUACCCAAAUAAAUUGUGGAGUCCAGUUGUAGAGUGAAUCAGAUACUGUUACUAACAGAGAUUAAUUAAUUCUUUUUUUAAAAAGAAAAAAAAAACAGAGAUUAAUUAAUGAAUUUGUGCAGGAUAUAAAUGAAUGGCCUAUUAUUGAUCCUUUGCCAUCUUAUGGAAGAGGGAGAGACAAACCUGGUGGAAGAUACAGCAGCCUCAUUGGUGGAUCAAACCUCACAGAUGUUAUCAUAACAGGUGCGUGUAAUGUGUUAAGAUUCAUGUGUGUGAACAUUGUUGAUGUUAUAGAUAUGAUUGGUAAAGAUAAAAAUUCGUCAUGUCGUAAACUUCAAACGAGUUCGAAUUCGAUUCCUUUCGAUUGAUUCCUGCGAUUAUUUGCUGUCGCGUUCUGACAUGGAAGUUCAAUCAAGCUCGCAACAGAGCCCGUCGUACGAACUGAGUUUUCCCUGUACGUGCAAGACUCUUCAUUUGCUGCUCAAAAUCUCUGUCUCAAUUCGAAACUACCGAUUUCGGAGGGAAAAUGCACCUAACUAACUGUAUGUAAUCAUGUUUGCUGAACUUAAGCUUUUGCUGAACAUUUGUUUUCAGGUGAUAAUGGAACAAUUGACGGGCAAGGGGCGACCUGGUGGCAAAAAUUCCACAAGAAUCAGCUCAAAUACACGCGCGGAUACCUCAUCGAACUGAUGCAUUCGGAUCAGAUCAUCAUAUCCAACCUCACAUUGCUCAACUCUCCUGCAUGGAACAUUCACCCAGUUUACAGCAGGUACAUGUUCUUGCAGAAUUUGAGCAUCUACUGCAGCAGAAACCAUGCUGCUCUGACUCUGACAGAUUCGGCGGUAAAAAUUGCAGCAACAUUAUCGUGUCGGGGAUCACAAUUCUCGCUCCGGUUCAUUCUCCGAACACCGACGGUAUUAACCCAGGUACUUGCUCAGUUGUUCUGAAACCUUAAAUCGGAGCCGAUUUGAAGAUACAGAUAUCUUGCUCGACAGAUCUCUUUGGUUAACUUGAAACCUCUACCUUUUCGUAGAUUCGUGCUCGCACGUCAGAAUCGAGGACUGCUACAUCGUAUCGGGCGACGACUGCGUCGCGAUCAAGAGCGGGUGGGACGAGUACGGGAUCGCCUACGGGAUGCCGAGCCAGCACAUCGUCAUCCGGCGACUCACCUGCGUCUCUCCGACCAGCGCCGUCAUCGCCCUCGGCAGCGAGAUGUCGGGCGGAAUCCAGGACGUCCGCGCGGAGGACAUCACCGCCGUCAACUCCGAGUCCGGGGUCCGCAUCAAGACCGCCCCCGGCCGCGGCGCCUACGUGAAGGACGUCUUCGUCCGCGGCAUGAGCCUCGACACCAUGAAGUGGGUCUUCUGGAUGACCGGCAACUACAAGUCGCACCCCGACGGCAACUACAACCCGAACGCGAUGCCGGUCGUGAACGGCGUCAGCUACAGCAACGUCGUCGCGACCGGCGUGACGACGGCCGCGCGGCUCGAGGGGAUACCGGGCGCGCCGUUCACCGGAAUUUGCAUAUCGAACGUCACGGUGGAGCUGGCGAAGUCGCGGAAGGUGUCGUGGACCUGCACCGACGUCGAAGGGGUGUCGGCCGACGUGAGCCCCGCGCCGUGCGCUCCGCUGCAGGGCGCGCACGACGGCCAGUGCCCGUUCCCGGCCGACCGGUUGCCGAUCGACGAGAUCGAGUUCAAGGAGUGUUCCUACUGAAAGAUCACACUCUCAUCAAUGUACAAUAAUGUUGCUUGUACAAGUGCAGGAGCUAAGAUAUGCUCUGACACUGCAAAAGGUUUGAUUGAAUACAUAUUACAUGACUAAGUUUGUUGCUGUUUCUGUUUUCUCUGUUUACUGAAUUGCUUGUUUUUGUGCUAUGGAAAAUACUCUAUAAUAAAUUUGUAAAUUCUUGAUUGUAGAGGCUGGUGGAUCGUAAGCGCUAAUUAACUGUUUCAAAAACACGUACUGAUAGAAAGGUGUAUCCAUCACACUUAAGGGCUCAAUUAUAGUGCUGACGGAUUUCGAUAUGGCUCAACCCAUCUAGACGUUAGGUCUAUUGUUAAGCCUCUGAUCGUUAGGUCUCUUUCAGACCGCAACCCCACCGAACUUAUAAGGCUCACCCAACUCAAUUUAUUAGUCUUCUGGGCUUAUUGUUACGGAGCAAAAAAAUUAGACAUACUUUAGCCCAAUAACAAAUAACCAAGAGUGGUGUAUAAGAUCAGAUUUUAGUUUUUAAUUAUGAAAGAAGCUGCGGGAUAGUAAUAACUGAAACUGUCAGGGGUAAUUUUGCAAGAUAGCUACAGAUUAAUAAUUUCGAGUGAAAAAAGAGAAAUUGCUGAACACAACAUUGUGUAACAAAGAGAAACCUAAAAUUAGGAGUUUUCUUGCAAAUAGCCCCCUGAGCAAUUUUUAUUUUAAAAAUAGCCCUAUCAAAUUAAAAUUGCAAAAUGGCCCUGUUCUUGCCACGCAGGCGCCACGUCAGCACCACGCGGGCAGAGCUGGGGCCAGGGUAUUAAGUUGAAUACGGUGAAUCAUUCACAGUGUCUAAACACGGUGAAUGGUUCACCGUGUUUCUUACGUAUUUUUUAUAUAUUGAAAAGUGGAAUAAGGAAUAGGGAUGUCAAUAGGUAUGGAUACCCGAAAUAUUAUCCGAAUCCAAACCCGAAUAAAUUAUAUAUAUAUACGUAAUUUAUUUUUAUUUAUUUAUACAAUAUAUAAAAUAUUUAAUAAUUUUUAUUCCUUAGAUCUUUAUCCAACGGUAUAGAUUUUUAAAAUCCGCUGGAUUGGAUGAAGAUCUAAGCAAUAAAAAUUAUUAAAUAUUUAAUAUAUUAUAUAAAUAAACAAAAAUAAAUUACGUGUAUAUAUAUAUAUAUAUAUAUAUAUAUAAUUUAUUCGGGUUUGAGUUCUCAACAAAAAUAAUAGUUCAGGGGCAAUAUCAGAAUUAGCUAUAAAUGAGUUAUGAGCGGUCUCCAUACAUUUUCCCAAAAAAAAUAUUAAACAAAAAUUUCAGGUCCUCAUUCACAAAAUACAUUAUAUUUGAGGGGCCUCCACCCAAUUUUCCACCAAACGUAACGAAACGAAACUUUUUAAAAAAUAUUAAAUAUAUAUAUAUAAAUAAAUAUAUAAAAUUAUAAAAAAAAAGGGAAAAUGUCGGCCAUGGCGAUCGCAAACCAUAUCCCCUCCUCCUUGCCCUCUCUGCGAUCCCUCCAUCGCCCUCUCCCCCUCUUCUCCUCUCCCCAAACCCUAACCCUAACCCUAACCCUAGUCCCCUUAAGCGGUAGUACUAGUAGUGGUAGUAGUAGUCGUGGGUGGCGGCGGAGGCGGGGGAGGGAGAGCGGGGAAACGCUAGUGGGGUCGUCGGAGCCGUGGUCGGAAGCGAGGCGGAGGCGACGGGGAAGGAGGUGGGAAACCCUAGCGGCGGCGUCGUCGUCGUCGUCGUCUCCGGCGGAGGAGCUCUCGGCGGCGGAGGAGGAGUGGCUGAGGAAGCUCCCGGACAAGAAGAAGCCGCUGUACUCGCACAGCCUCCCGUGCAUCGAGGCGUGGCUGCGGCACCUAGGGUUCCGGCGGAGCCGCGACGACCGCGCCGUGUGGCUCGCCGAGAACCCCCUCUGGCACGCCCAGCUCUCCCUCGACGUCACCGAUCUAUACAUCAGGUCCCCAUCCUUCCUCUUCUCCUCCAAAUCCUUAUGUGCUUGAAUUCGAAACCCUAAUCAUUCAUACAUGCCUCAGCUGUUCUUGUGCUAAAUAUUUAGUUCAAUUCACCGUAAACUGAAUCAACGAAUUUCACGUUUACGAUUGCGUCCACGAAGCCGAGAAGUAGUAAAAGAAAGAAUUCGCCUGUAAUGACUAUUUUGAUGCACAUAUCAAGUGAUGUGAAUCAGCCACAAAUAAGAUUUUAGACCGUAAAUCACUUGCACUGAAUGUACAUGACCUAGAUGAGUUUUCGCAUCAGACAUGCUUUUACUUUUCCCAGGCUCGGUAUUGAACUUGGCAUUCUACAACAAUUCAGUAGUGGUGCCAGUAGUUUGAAAUUCUAUCCAAUCUAUUUAGUGUUUGUUCGGCACUAGUUAUCAUUUCUAGUAGAGCGUUUGGUAGACGAAAAGGUCUAGUGCUUCUGUUUCAUGUUAAAUAAUAUGAAACAACCGUUAUUUUCUAAAAACUUAAACCGGUAAAGAACGGUGUUUAAAUAACCACCCNCAUAUUACAUGACUAAGUUUGUUGCUGUUUCUGUUUUCUCUGUUUACUGAAUUGCUUGUUUUUGUGCUAUGGAAAAUACUCUAUAAUAAAUUUGUAAAUUCUUGAUUGUAGAGGCUGGUGGAUCGUAAGCGCUAAUUAACUGUUUCAAAAACACGUACUAAUUGGAAGGACGCAUCCAUCGCACUUAAGGACUCAAUCAUAGCGCUCACGAAUUUCGACCUAACUCAAUUCAUCUGAACGUUAGGUCUAUUCUUAGGCCUCUUGUCGUUAGGUCUCUUUCAGACCGCAGCCCCACUGAACUUAUAAGGCUCACCCAACUUAAUUUAUUAGUCUUCUGGGCUUAUUAUUACGGAGCAAAAAAAUUAGACAUACUUUAGCCCAAUAACAAAUAACCAAGAGAGGUGUAUAAGUUCAGAUUUUAGUUUUUAAUUAUGAGAGAAGCUGCGGAAUAGUAAUAACUGAAACUGUCAGGGGUAAUUUUGCAAGAUAGCCACAGAUUAAUAAUUUCGAGUGAAAAAAGAGAAAUUGCUGAACACAACAUUGUGUAACAAAGAGAAACCUAAAAUUAACAUACUUAGGAUUGCAAUUUUACAGCUUAGUCCAUCUAAAGACUAUAAUUGACACACUAGUCUUAUCAAUUUUUUAAAAAAUUGAAAAACAAACAGUGUUGUUUAAACUCUAUUUCAAUCUUUGUGUGCUUAGCACUUAACCAUCUUAUAGAAUUUGUAAAUAAAAUAAUAAGAAAUCCUUAAAUUAUUAUUUCAAAUACUAACUAUUUGUAUAGUGAGAAUAACAAUAAUUCCCUAGCGGGAACUUAUCUCAAAAUAGUCAACGGUUGAGGGGUCUCCAUUCAUUACAAAAAAUUCAAAAUUAUAAUUUCAAAUAAAACUUUUUUGGUGGUUUGAAAUUAUAUAGAGACUCUCUGAACAACUCGAUAGACACUGGCUUAAUUUUUAUUUUUUUAUUUGAAUUUUUCUGGUAAAUAAGUGAAAAGGAAAAUCUAGUUAAUUUGCUACUAAGUAGUUUAAACUAAAAAAUUUCAUGAUAUUAUUGAUUUAUUUAGCAAAAAUCACUAAAUUCCAAAAAUUUAAAAGUUAAGGGAGUUCUCAACGAAAAUAAUAGUUCAGGGGCCAUUUCAGAAUUAGCUAUAAAUGAGUUAUGAGCGGUGUCCAUGCAUUUUCCCAAAAAAAAUAUUAAACAAAAAUUUCAGGUCCUAAUCGCAAAAUACAUUAUAUUUGAGGGGCCUCCACCCAAUUUUCCACCAAACGUAACGAAACGAAACUUUUUAAAAAAUAUUUUAUAUAUAUAUAUAUAUAUAUAUAUAUAUAUAUAUAUAUAUAUAUAUAUAUAUAUAUAUAUANGCGGCUCUCGAGGAGGCGGCCUCUGCUGCUGCUGCUGCUGCGGCGGCGAUCCCAAAGGGUGGAGGAAGGGGCAGCGGAGGCGGAGCGAAGGCUGGUGCCGAGGCUGCUGGGGUGAUCCCAAAGGGGCGAGAGGGAGGGGGCGGAGGCGGCGGUGGGUGCUGAUGAUGAUGGUGAUGAUCCUGAUGGCGAAUUCCCCUGAUCCCAAUCCCAAUCCCAAGCGGAGGAGGAGUGGCUGAGGAAGCUCCCGGACAAGAAGAAGCCGCUGUACUCGCACAGCCUCCCGUGCAUCGAGGCGUGGCUGCGGCACCUAGGGUUCCGGCGGAGCCGCGACGACCGCGCCGUGUGGCUCGCCGAGAACCCCCUCUGGCACGCCCAGCUCUCCCUCGACGUCACCGAUCUCUACAUCAGGUCCCCAUCGUUCCUCUUCUCCUCCAAAUCCUUAUGUGCUUGAAUUCGAAACCCUAAUCAUUCAUACAUGCCUCAGCUGUUCUUGUGCUAAAUAUUUAGUUCAAUUCACCGUAAACUGAAUCAACGAAUUUCACAUUUACGAUUGCGUCCACGAAGCCGAGAAGUAGUAAAUGAAAGAAUUCGCCUGUAAUGACUAUUUUGAUGCGCAUAUCAAGUGAUGUGAAUCAGCCACAAAUAAGAAUUUAGACCGAAAAUCACUUGCACCGAAUGUACAUGACCUAGAUGAGUUUUCGCAUCAGACAUGCUUUUACUUUUCCCAGGCUCGGUGUUGAACUUGGCAUUCUACAACAAUUCAGUAGUGGUGCCAGUAGUUUGAAAUUCUAUCCAAUCUAUUUAGUGUUUGUUCGGCACUAGUUAUCGUUUCUAGUAGAGCGUUUGGUAGACGAAAAGGUCUAGUGCUUCUGCUUCAUGUUAAAUAAUAUGAAACAACCGUUAUUUUCUAAAAACUUCCCCGUCUAGGUGACAUGGAUUUGAAUUAAAUGGAAGAAAAUUAAUAAUGCUAGAAGUCUGGUGUGACUUAAACUCAGGACCUUCUUCUCUGUUGCAUGUUAAAUAAUGUGAAACGGCUGUUAUUCUCUAAAAGCUUAAGCUGGUAGAGAAUGAUGUUUAAAUAUUUUUGUAUUUAACACUGCAAUGGGAAUGGUGUUUUUAGAAACUCCAUUUCGUGUGAACUGAAAUCUCCAUCGAACCGAACUCCAUUCAAGCUGCUUGCAUUCUUAUCGGUUUGCAUCUUUAGCAAAUUCGAGUCCCUGGGAAACUACGAAAUUUAUGUGAACUAUUUGCCCAUAAGGGAAUUACGUGAUUGGAUUUUGUGUUCUUGUAGAUACAGAGUACAAACCUUAAGUAGAACUUACUUUCAUGUUGGCUGGAUAUAGAAUAACGUGAAAUCGCAGCUCGAAUAAGCGGAUGGCGAAUCGAGUAUUAGCAUCUGAAAUGCACCGCCAAUCCCCCUACCUGCAACCUGUUUGGUAACACCCAAGUUGCUUGAAUGGAUGUCGUUCCAUCACUCUUUUUACCGAUUGACGAUUUAAGAUCUGAAUUUCUGCAGUUUUAGUUUUCCAAACAUAACAAAUUUAUUAUUCCAAGGUACACCCUUUGUAACGGCGAAGACAUCUGGGUAUUGUUAAGACUAUUCAUGGGCUGCUUCUUAAGGGAUAGAUUUAGAGUGCAUUCUAAGCUCUCUUAGUUUCCCACGCAUGUAACUACGUGAAUUCGGGUGCUAAAACUAUUACUGUGGUCUCAAUUAACAAGCAUGAUCGAUAUUCAAAUGAGUGGAACAAUGCUGUUGAAUGCUGUUGCUGAGUCUGUUGCUGACACCGCAGCCUAUGUGUAACGACUCGCCCGUUAGCAAUAAUAACUCGUUAGACCCAAACCACCGUCCCAAAAUACUUAAGCUCAGUUAACUAUCCGAUGUGGGAUUAUUCGGGUGUCACACAUAGUCCAAGAUCAUUAAGCAAUGUGAGACUUGUCUCGCUAGCCUUGUCAUUCUGAUCCUGACUUAACCUGUUAUUUUCCGACCGUGACUAAGCCAAGAUUCAUCUCACACUUCCGGCUGGUGAACCGGCUUCGAUACCAAAUGUAACGAUCCGACGCUAGCAAUAAUAACUCGUUGGGCCCAAACCACCGGUCAAAAAUGUUUAAGUCUAGUUAUUAUAUCUAGCCUAAUCAAGCUUAUAUACCUCCACAUCUAACCAUAAUUAUUCGAUGUGGGAUUAUUGGGAUGUCACACUGUAACUAUGCUGACAAACUCUCAGGUACCUGAAGAGUGGACCUGGAAAUCUGGAGAAAGAUGUGGAGAGAAGGUUCAGCUAUGCAUUGAGCAGAGAGGACAUCGAAAACGCCAUACUCGGAGGGCCGUGAUUUUGGCGACAGAUUAAGCAACGAGUUUAAUUGGUUUAAUCUGUAUCUUGAAGAUUUAAAUCUUGAAGAUAUAAAUAGGAAACUUCUUCUCUUUUUCGUUUUGUCUAUUCCAAUCCAGAAGUGUUUCAUGUGUAAAUUUGUUCCAUGUUGAUGUAAAGUGUUCUCAAUUAGGGAAGGGACUCAUUUUGUAUGACAGAAAUGCUUAAGUAAAAGUGCAAAAUGUAUGGGUAGUCCCUGUACUAUUUUGAUUUUGCGACUCGGUCUCUGUACUCUUUGUUUAAACACUUUAUUCAGCAAACUUUCAUAUAUUAUUGUACUUUGGUCCCUCGACUUUCAAAUCCUAUUUAAAGUAAAUAAAAAUAGUUUACAAACAAAAAGUUAAUGAAAAUAAAAACUGGAUUGGUUUCAUAACUAGUGCAAUAAGAGUGAAAAGGUACAAAAUCUGAGAUAUGAUGCUGGGAUUGGACUCUAAUUUGUGAACUUGAAUAGCACAAAAUGGAAUUAAACAAAGGAAGAACUAAGUUAUUAAAUUUAAUUUAAUUUUUAACUUGGUUAAACUAACUAUAAGAACUCAAUUUAAAAAAAUAAAAAGUUUGAGGGGUUAAAAAAAUAAGAUAUCUAUGUCAAAAAAAGGCCAUAGUUGAGGUAUUAUCUCUUGGCUUAUGUACCCUACAAAUGUAGCUUUUUUUCAAAUUUAGCCCUCCUCAAAAAAGAGUUUUAUAAAUAAUUCUAACAAAUUUAUAUUUGCAACAUAUGACCCUCUUCUUACCACAUGGACGCCACAUUUGUUUUUGUAAGUUAAAUAUACAAAUGUAAGUUAAAUACGGUGAUUUAUUCACCGUAUUCAUAUCUACAUUUUAGUCCCUCUUUUUUAACUUUAGGGACGAAAAGAUACAGAAAGAAACACGGUGUGAUUCAGUUAUCAUAUUCAACUUAAAAAUGCUAUCUAAAGAUUCUAAACGCUCACGUAGUAAGAAAAGAGCUAUGUAUGCAAAUAUAAAUUUAUUAUGAUUAUUUGUAUUUUUUUUUUUUUUGAGAAGGCUAAAUGCAAAACAAGCCCCUACAAAUAUUUUACAAAAAACGGUAGUUGAUUUACCUUUGUUCAAAUACAAAUGGUAAAUAAUUUACCGUGUUCAUUAGUCGACAUCUAUUGGCCAACAUGGUGCCCACAUGAAUAAUAUAGAAUUAUUUCUGUAUUUGAAUUUUUUUUAUGGAUUUAUUUUUGUAAUUAAAAUUUUUGAGGGGGUUAACUGCAACCAAAUACUUUGGAGUGCGGAAGUGUCACGAACAACUCAAAAAUUUUCUAAGAAUAAAUAUAGAAAGAAAUCUAAGAAUCACUUUGGUGCUUUAAAAUUCUCUAGAUAGAAGUCAAAAUUCUGCAUCUUUAUUCGCACUCAAGAGGCCUAUAAAUAGGAAGUCUGAGACUAACCAAAAACUCAGGAACAUUGUAAUCCUUUUUUUUCAGCAAUACAAUUUCAAAUACACCAAAAAGCAUCUCUUAGAAGGCAAAUAGAUCCGAACUAGGGAUGCAAACGGAUCCGGGUUGGUGGAGCUUCUAUUUCGAUCCGUCCCAAUUGGGGCAGUAAAUGAAAAGAAAUAAACUGAUUCAAGGCAGAAAGCGAAGUAAUUUAUGAUCCGAGAUGGGUUUGAAAUAGGAAGCGAAAAAAAUUUUGACCUGCGAAUCUGCCUCGCCGUGAUUUGCCCUGAACCCGCCCCGAAUCCGUUCCGAAAAUCAUUUAUAUUUUUAAAAAAAAUAUCUCUAAAAAAUAAUAUAUUUACAAAAAAUUUAAAAUACGAAUAAGUCGAUACUCUCAUUUCUCAUAUAUUUGAAACUUUUAAAUUUUAUUUCAAAUUGUGAUUGAUAUUUUUUAUUUUUAUAAUUGAUAUUAUUAAUUUUAUGUGUAACAUAAUAAUAUUAUUAUUCAUUAUUAUUAAAAAAAAUCAUUAAUUUAUAUUUUACAAAAUAUUAAUAAUAUUAUAAUUUUUAAAGAAAAUAUUAAAUUAAUAUUUUGUAAUAUUAAUUUACAACCACCUACAUAGUCAAUAGAGUGGUUGUUUUGUCAACUUCUUAUCACAAAUAUGAUGUUACUUGGCAUAAAAUAGAUAUUGAAAAUGCAACCCCAGAUGGAUAGAGUGGUUGGGUUAGGGGACGUUUGGUUUUCCCAAAAAUAUUUCAAACUUUUUGUUCCAUCCAUUUAAUUUUAAAGAAAAUAGUUUUUGUAAGCAUUUAUUUUCCCAGAUUUCAUAAUAAAAAAGUGUUAUUAUCCCCUAAAUUUUUUACUUAGAAAAUAAAAAAAAUUGUAGAAAAACGUGUUUUUUAUGAUUUUUUUUGAAAAUAUUUUUUUACGCUUUUUCAACGAACCAAACACUGAACAUGAUUAAUUCCAACCGAGAUAUGAAUAAUCCAACUAAAACCAAAGGCAAAAACAGAUGAAAAGGAUGUAUUUCACAAGCCAAAGCUAAAAAAAUUAGUGGAGAACAAAACAAGAGUCUUAAGUGAAAUACUAGAAACUUUGGCAAAGGCAAAGCUACAGCCAAGAGACUCAGUGUCAUGCUUAAACAAUAUCUUAUAACAAGAAUAAAGCUAGAAUACUUUUAAAAAUAAAUUAGAGGUUUACUUCCACAUUAUUUCCAGCCGUAGAACAUCCGAAUCAACAACCGGCACCAUCAAAUAUGAUGUAGACUAUUUGAACAUUCUAAAGACCAAAUUUCGUACAUUUUUUUGAUAUCAUUUACCUAAUAAUCAAAUAGCCUCAAAUUCACUCCACGUUUAGUCAUUAGAAACUAUCAAUUUCAAGACCAUCUAUACACUAGAUAAAUGAUGUCGUAAAAUCGUAAAUUUGGAACCUAAAAAGUUCAAAUAAUACAGAUCAAAUUAAACAACGUCAAUCAUCGAUUUGAAUGCCCCGUCACCAAAAAAAAAAGAAAAAAGAAAAAAGAAAAAGAUGCAGAAGUAAACAAUCCGUAUAACAAUGUAUUUAUCUUUCUCACAGUAGAUUCAUGCUAUUUCAAUCUAGAGGUUGGUUGCAGAUGUAGCAACCAGCAAGUGCCUACAUAAUAAUACCUUAGAACCAAUUUAAUUAUGUUUCUUACAGCAAACCCCAUAGGACAACAAGUUACCAAAGAUCUACACUGUGAUACCUGAGAAAUCAAUCAGCAAAACUAUGCUGGAAAUAAAGCUAUCCUUCUAAUGAAGCAUUGACACAAACUGCUACUCUGUUAACCAAUCCAUGCAAAGUCACGAAUGAUGUAAAUGCAAUGUUCCAGGACAUUACCUAAAGGCUAUUCAUGACCAAGUGUUCCAAUUCAACAUUUAUUCAAGUCAUGAAGAAACUAAAAGCAUCAAUAUCAGGAAGAAACACGACAAAUCACAUUUAUCGAAUCAUAGCUCAAUCCACCGGGCAAAAGAUAUUACUAUACGAGCAAGAUGUCCACCGGGUUCAUGUCGUUUUCAUCAAAGAAUGCAAGUUCAUGCCGACUAAACUUGGGCUCCCGAAUCGUGCAGAAAAUAUGCAUGUCCACCACCAGUUUUAAGGAACGAAAAAGAAAAGGGAUACUUCACAUUCUACUAGCUAAUGUGAAUAAAUAAUCAACUAGAAUCUGAAAAGGAGAUUUGAAUUGGAUAGAAUUAUAUAUUACUCGCAAUUAUUAUGUUUGUUAGUAUAUGAUAGCUAGAUCAGGCAUAAUAUGCACAUUGUAUAUUCAACACAAAUCGUAAUAAUUAUUUAUAUAGCUAGAAAUUAGUAUGCAUGUUUACCAUUAUAUAGCUAUUACCAUCAAAUGCAUUGUGAGAUGUUCGAAGAAAGUUCUUUAUUAAUCAGUACUGUUUGUUUAUAAUUAACUUCGACCUCUUGUUUUCAUCGGGUUAGGUUAACUAAACUCACUUAAAUCCAACCCAAACCACACUCAAGGUCAACCCUUCCAAAGCCUGAACCAAAAUUUGAAUAAUAAUUCAGCUGGACGGAGCUUCUAGCAACUUAAAUUUCCAAAUUUAAAUGGGAGAGACUUCAGCAACAAGCAGGUGGCUUAAAUUCAACUACUAAAUUGGAGAUACUUCAGCAACAAACCAGCAUUCAGACGAGAAAUAUUUUACCAAAAAAAGAACAACUUAAAAUACGAGUCCAAAUGAGAAAUCGGCUGAAAUUUCAAGAAGAUUAUUUAGCUACAAAAAACUGAACUAAAAAUCUGGAAAUAAAAAAAAAAAAAAAAAGCAGAUGCUGGCUUUAAAUUGGGAGCAGAGUUAUGAUGGUUUAGCCCUUAACAAACUUACUCCUCCUGCCAUCUUUCUAUGCUCUUUUGGGCAUUCUCUUCCCCCUCAAACCUGAGUCUAAAUUGACACUCCUUUCCCUCCUUAACAUGAGCUUGAGUAGGCUCUUCUUUCCCUUAAUGUAAGCCUGGAUUGGCCGUUUCUUCUCUCUCUUAUUACUGCUGGCAUUGCUACUAGAUAUUCCACUCAAAGCUGCUACCUGUAAUGAAAGGCCGCUACAGCUUAUUUAUCUAUAAAGGUUGUCAUGGCCUUCUUAUCUGCUGCCCCAACUGUGCAGUAUAGUGAAUUAGGGACUGAUGUGGUUGUGAUGCUUCUCAGGAUUUAGGGCUAUAGUAUUAGCCACAAAAGGUUCUGGAAUCAACUAAGAACGAAACCUAAAGCCCUCCACUUCCGCUAAAGCCUCUCUAUCUAAACACUUCAUUUCACAUCCUACAAACCUGAAUUUCCUAUUUCAAAACGCUGGGCCGAAUAUUAUUUUGAGACUCAUUAAAACUUCAUUUCUUUGUUUUCAGUUUCUUAUUGAUGGAAAUGUAAUUCGAACGAGUUGUAGUUGGAUUAAAAGUUCUUGUCUGGCAUUUUGCUUGCAAUAAAAAAUAUAGCAGAUUUUCUUUGAAGUCAUUUUAUUAGUUUAGUUUCUUUUCCUACAGAACUAGCAUUUAUUUUUAGUAUUUAUAUCGAGUUGUUCUCCAAACAUGGCUUAAAAAGCUACACGUUGCAUCAUACAAGACCAUUCACGAGCGAUCAUACAACAACUGCAGCAUUAAGAAAUUUCAUAUAUAAUACUCAAAGAGUUCUAGUCGCUAAAAUGCUAGAAUCAUAGUUAAUUAUCAGUAUAUAAUUAUCCUGUCAGUAGUGAGCCUGAAAAUCCAUUUGACAAGAGAUUAUAUCACUUCUCUUCAAGAAACAAGAUAACCAAGUUCAAAACUAUGAUACACCCAAGUACAAAAAGGGUUAAUUCCAAACUAGACUUGGAUUCAAAUCAUGCUUAGAGAUACAAAUAUUCCUCACCCAAUUAAGUGAACAUAAAGAUAAGAAAUCUUCAUUAAUUAGAACGAACGAAGCAAUCCCAAAUGGAGUGGAUGAAUGGCACCACAUGCACAACCCUAGAAAACUACUUAUUCAUCACCUAGGUAGUCUUAAAAGCUUGAGUCAGUUAAACUGAUGAUCUUACAAUUCAUGCAAACGUCGAAAUAGAAACAAUAGAAUGAAAAGCAAGAAACAUCCUCUAAUACAUUUAACCUCCUCAUAUACAUGACAAACACUCCUACAUCUCUACCAAUCAACCAAAAUCACAAGCUACCACAAAUUAUUAGGAUCCCAAGCAGAAGAAUCACGCACCCGUGGAUCACUAAAAUAAUAACACUUAACCUCUCAUAUACAUGACAAAAACUCCUAGAUCUCUACCAAUCAACCAAAAUCAUAAGCUACCACAAAUUCUUAGGAUCUCAAGCAGAAGAAGAACCACACACCAAUAGAUCUUAGGAUCUCAAGCGGAAGAAGAAUCGCGCCCAUGGAUCACUAAAAUGAUAUAGAAUAAUAGAGGAAUCCUCAUAUACAUGACAAACAUUCCUAGAUCUCUACCAAUCAAUCAAACUCACAAGCUACCACAAAUUCUUAGGAUCGCAAGCGGAAGAAGAAUCACGGACCCGUGGAUGACUAAAAUGAUGAUAGAAUAAUAGACGAAACAACAAAACCGUACCUCCAAACUAUACAGGUGGUUAAAAUGGCUCCUUUUUAGCCGCCGACAACCUGAAAUUAGCCAAUUGUUUCCUUUAAUAAAAUUAUAGUUGCAUGAAUUGCAUAAAAUAUGCUAAUUUUAAGGCCGUAAAGACAACAACACAUUCAAAUUUUGAGGUUAAAGAGAAUCAUAUAAAUUGAAUAAAUAUGCUCAAUAAACUAUUGAUUUUGAUAGUAUUAACAAAAUAGAAAAUCUCCUUUAUCUAAAUUUGUCAUACAUAUUUUGAGUUGCAAAUUGGAUAUAUGUUAAAAUGUGGAACAAUGCGAUACGCCAACUGGUUUUAGUGAACUUUACAACCUAAUUUGUCAAACUUUUUUAGAUCUAUUUGAGAUGAUGACAAAGUAUAGGGCAGUAAUUGAUGCAAUUUUUAAUGCAGUAGGAUAAUUGAGACUGCGGGGCUAAAGGGUAAGGGAGCUUUUUAUAAUUUAGCCUAUUUUUAAAGGGAAGUUCCUAGGCAUCACGGACACGGACAAAGGGCACAGGACACGACACGGCGACUCUAGCAACUUUUUUCCAAAAAAUUAGGACAUAGAUACGACAUGACACCACUAAUAAAAUAUACUAUCAUUAAUAUAAUACCAUAUUAAUUAUAUAUAAAAUAUUAAGUUUGCUAAAAUAUUGCUAUGUUUUUUAUACGAAUGAAAGUUAAUAAAAUUCUCAUUGAUGGUUCAUAAAGUUUAAGAAAAAAAAUUCUCCACCAUACACAAUUUAUUUAUAUUGUCGAAAAAAGGUUUUAUGUAUUUAUCAAAAAACCAAAAUAUAUUUCCUCUUAAAUAUAUAAUAUGCAUAAAAAAAGGUUAUAUAUAUAUAUAUAUAUAUAUAUAUAUAUAUAUAUAUAGUAUAGGAUGCAUAUUUUUAAUGGUAAACGUUAUGGACCCGCGUUCAAACGUUAGUCCAUGGCUUGUCCGUGUACAUAUAGCUUAUAAAAGUGUGCGUGAUACAUAGGUAAUUUGUAUAGAAUUUUACCUACAAAGAUUGCUCCUUGAUUAGCCUCCGAAGAAGGAGAAGAAGCCCUUCUUCUUGGGUUCCUCCUCCUCGAGCAUGACGGCAGUCAUGGUGUCCUGCUCGACGAGGCGCCAGGCGGCCUGCUCGAAGGCGAGGCCGGCGAGGGAGGGGGGCCGGGUGAGGACGAGCGGGCAGCCGCGGUUGGUGCUGCGGAUGACCUCGGCGUCCUCGGGGAUGUUCACGAGCAUCUUGAUGUCGCGGAUGCCGUCGCACUCGAGGAGCCCCGCCACGCGGUCGGCGUCGCGGAGGGCGGUGAUGUCGGGGGUGGUGACGAGCACGGCCUCGUUCGCCGGCGAGAUGGCGGUGACGAAGCCGGCGUCGAUGCCGGCGGGGCAGUCGAUGAGCACGAACUGGGGCGGCGGGUUAGGGUUAGGGUUAGGGUUAGGGUUGGAGGGGUUGUUGGGGCCAUCGGAGCGGAGGGCGUCGACAAUCCAGGUUAGGGUUUUGGGGCCGAAGGAGAGGGGGAGCUUGGAGCGGGGCUUGGAGAGGCAGAGGAGGCGGAGCAGGGACGGGAAGCGGCGGUCGCGGACGAGCGCCUGGUCGAGGCGGCAGUCGCCGUUGAGGACCUCGGCGGCGGUGUAGUUGACGCGGUUCUCGAGCCCGAGGAGCAGGUCGAGGUUGCGGAGCCCCGCGUCGGCGUCGACGGCGACCACGGAGAACCCGAGCCGCGCGAGGGAGACGCCGACAUUCGCCGUCGUCGUCGUCUUCCCCACGCCGCCCUUCCCGGACGUCACCACCACCACGCGCGGCGUCUCCCCCGCCAGCUCCGGCUUCCUCCCCCACUGCACCGCCGCCGCGGAUCCGACGACCACCCCACCUCCGCCGCCGCCGCCGCGCCGGAAACGGCAAAGUCGGUGGCGGACGUGGAGAGGAGCAACGAAUGAGGAAGAGGAGGAGGACGAGGCGGAGAGAUGCGUGGGGGUGAGGAGAUGAGGGAGAGGGAGAGGGGAGGACGCCAUUUUUAGGGUUAUGGCUAGGGUUAGGGUUUAGAGGAAGAGGAUUGAGGAGGUGGGCGCCAUGAGAACAGUAACGAAGCUGAGAGAGAGAGAGUGGUGUGUGAUGCGCGACCAGCGCGAGUGUAAUAGUUUGGGUGUGGGUUUGGGUUUGGGGCUAAAAGAGGUGGAUUUAUUAUGGGCUGGGCCCAACUUUAUAGAGGCCUAUUAGGCCUGGCCCAACUUUUUGUGUGGAGAUAGGCCCUUCUUUUUCUUUGAGUUCGCCGUGUAUACUCAAUUGCUGUUCGCGAGUUCGCUCAUGUUGGGUUCGAAAUGAGCUCGAAAUUAAUUUGCUCAUUUAGUAGAUAAGCUAAACAUAAACUUAAUUUUCAGCUCGUUUAACGAAACAUGAGCUGGGUCAGCUCGUUCGUCUCAGUCUCAAUAACAGCUCGAAUAAAUAUAUUUUAUAUUUAUAUAACUUAUAAAUUUUAUAUUUUAUAUUAUAUAAAUAAAUAAUUAUAUAUAUAUAUAUAUUAUAAAUUUUUAUUACUUGAUUUUUAGUCCAAUCUAUAUAUAAAGCUCAAGUCAAUUAUAGUAUGCACAGUUUCAACUAUUAGAUUAAAAUCAAAUGACUAAGUUCUCAUAAAUUUAUUUCCUAUAUUGUUGUUCGUGAGCUAGUUAGUAUUCGGCUUGUUAGUAAACGAGUCAAACAUGAUCAGAAUUUUUUAGCUCAAUAUUUUAACAAGUCAACUUGUAUUUGGCUCGUUUGUAAAACAAGCUAAACACAAGCCGGCCCUAGCUUGCUCGUGUUUAGCUUGUUGACCCCUGUAGUGAAGAGUGUGUUACAUGCGAUGAAAAUUUUGCAACAUAAAAAAUAUUUUUAAUUUAUUAUUUGUAGUGUAGAGACGGAAAAAAAAAGGGUCAAUUUGUAUAAAAAAUUCACAAAUUUUGAGCUUUUGCAAAACUAUGGCACUUUUUUUGAUUUUGCAUAUUCGGUCCGAAUUUUCAGCAAACUAACCAAGAUACUCUUAUUAUUUUUUCUCUCGUUCAUUUUUUUACUUUCUCCAAAGAAGGCAGCGGAGGUAGAGGUGGAGGAGAAAACGACCCGCCUUACAUCUUAUCCUCAUGCCCUUGCCCUCGCAUGCGCACCCCCCGCCUUCCUCGCCUCCAACCCCUUCGAGACUCCGCCAACUUUUUUUUUUUUUCCCCUCUCCGACCCUCCUCCACCAUCUCCGAAGACGAUGCCUCUCUCGCCUUCUCUCGCCCUUCUCCGCCCUUCCCGCUCUCUUCCCCUCUCUCCUCCUCCACCGUCUUCGACAACGACGCCUCUCCGCCGACGCCGAUGCCGUGAAGGUCGCUGCGACACCGCAGCCUUGAAACGGGGGGUCCUUACUGGCGUCGUAACCGACGCAAUAGCCGUUGGCGGAAAUGCAUGACAAAAUAAAAUUACACUAUUUAAAUUUUUUUUUGUACUGUAUUAAAUAAAAAUUACACUCUUUGAGACAAAAUUAUACUCUUUGAGAUCAAAUUUAUACUCUUUAGAUAAAAUUUAUAUAAUUUUUCUUUUCCUCCUCCUUCCCCUCAUCCUCAUCUUCAUCCUCCUCCACCCCUAGGCUGCGUUUGGUUGGAUAACUAAAUUUUGGAGAACAACUUUUGUUAUUUCCAAGAACAGGAGAUAUUCCGGUACAAGAUCGAACAAUUGUAAAUUUGUGUUUGGAUGCAUUCGAGGAUAUUCUAGAGGAUAUCCUUAAUAGCGUUUGGAUAAAAAGUCUAGAACAACGUCUAAAUAUAUUUUUAAAAAUAAAAUAAUUAAUUUAUAUUAGUAUAUUUUAUAUAAAAUUAUUUAUAAAAUUAUUUCAUAUAGUAAUUUAUAAUAUAAUAUUUUAUGUAAGAAUCUAAUUUAAAAUAAUAUAUUUUAUUUUAUUAUAUAUAAUAAUUUAUUUUAUGUAAUCAUUUAUUUUAUAUAAUUUAUUCAUAAUAUAUUAAUGAAUAAAGUAUAAUACUAACAAUAUCCCUAUANUAUUUAUAAAAUUAUUUCAUAUAGUAAUUUAUAAUAUAAUAUUUUAUGUAAGAAUCUAAUUUAAAAUAAUAUAUUUUAUUUUAUUAUAUAUAAUAAUUUAUUUUAUGUAAUCAUUUAUUUUAUAUAAUUUAUUCAUAAUAUAUUAAUGAAUAAAGUAUAAUACUAACAAUAUCCCUAUAUUUUUAAUUAAUAAUUAGCAUAAAUUUCAAUACAAGUAAAAAAUAUAUAUAUAAUUAAAUAUUAAAGUAUAAAUGAUAAAGUUUAAUAAAAUAAAAAAUAUAUCAAAUUUAAUUAAUUUAUAUUAUAUAAUAAAAUUUAAGUAUAAAUAUAUUAUCAUAAAAAUUUAAGUAUGAAUUUCAAUACAUAUUAAAAUAUAUAUAUAAUAUAUGAAAAAAUGAUUUUAUGUAUAUAAUACUUAAUAUAAAAUAAAAUAAUUAAAUACUAAUAUGUCACGCCCCGGGACCCAGCGGAAGCCCGCCUGGCGCGUGCCCAGACCCGCCAUAUGUCUACAACAUAUAAGGCGUCUAAAAACAACAAUAAUAAAAGCAAUAAUACAAGACAUUUAGGAGUAUCAGAGCAUAAUAAAAGUCUAAAUGCUACAACAAGGGAUAAGGUUAAAACUGUAAAUCCACUAAAUAAAAUAUAGAGUGAUACAAGGAAAUCCCAGAUACAUGCGCUAUAGGUAGAUACAUAGGUGGUCUCUAUACAUGGAUACAAAACCUCUCACUCUCUCAACUACAAAAGAAAGAGCAACCACCUAGGCAAAGUACCGCUUCUCGCUAGCUAGCUAAGCGAUCCCCUUGCCGCGAUCCUGUGCCUCCGCCGGUGCCGAAGACUCUGAAAAGGAAACCAUAAAACAGGGGCGUGAGAACUAUAAAAAAUAGUUCCCAGUGGGCAAUUACUGACUUCAGUGAAUGCACCACAAGACCCAAAGCUACAAAAGAUGACAGUGACAGUAACAGUAGAAAAGCGAAAGGUAAGUAAAAAUAAUGUAACCUACUACAACAUGAUAUCCCUACUUAGCGUAAUUAGCAUAAGUAUGAUGCAAUUAUGCAUGAAGUAAAAGUCUCCAACUAUCAUAAUGUUCACAAUGCGAAAUAGUAAAGUUCCGUUGUUUACUAUUCUAGUCAAUGUCCAAGUAAUACUCUAAGUCAUCAUCUGUCCACAUGUCAUAAUGAAUACUCAAGUCAAAUCUGAAGAGACCCACCCGAAGGCUGUCUAUGGUCCUGAGACCCACCCGAAGGCUAUCUGGCCGGUGCCGAGCCUAAUGGCCCGGUGGUAGUCAACAUCCCCACCCUAGGAAUGAGCCUGGCCUACGGCAAUCCACUUCGGCGCCCAAUCCCGCACGGCGAAUAUGAAUCGCGAUGGCUAUCUCCGGAGUGCCGGCUUGUAGGGAGCGACCCUCACAAGCAUGUGCGAAUGAGCACAAUGGCAAGUAGUCGUAUAUCCUAUCACAAGUACCAAGUCCUCAUGUCUAAUAACACGGAAUGUAUCGAAUGACCCGAAGGCCUAUCUCUAUGUCAUCAUGUCUCUAACAUGGAAUAUAUAGCAGAUGUACAAUAGCCUAUCAUCAUGUCCCUAAGUUGCAUUUGCAUAGUUUACUAAUUCCAAGUGCCUCUUUAUGACACUUUUGUUCAACGAGUCCCAAGCAUGGCAUUAAUAUGUUCAUGAUGCAUAGUUCACUCAAUUCUAGUAUGGAAACAUGUUCUCAACUUGCAAAACCAAGCACUAUCCUCAAUGCAUGCAAUCUACACAUAUAGCUCUACUAUAUGGAGUACAAAUUUUACGAUACAUGAGGCAUGCACGUUAAGUGUUCUAAAAUUCAUAUAAAUCAUGUUUAGCAUGAAUUUACAUUCAAAAAUACUUUACAAAAAGUUUAGAAGGCAUAGGGGCCAUUUUGCCUCAUUUUCAUGAAGUCAAAUCCACCGAUGACAACGAAACUCCUCGUUUGCUCCAACGAGGGUGUCCUCUAGUCUCCUAAUACCCUAAGGAUGUAGGAACAAGCGUUACUCGAAUGAAACGAACAAUCAAUAGCUCAAACAUUAACCAUCUCAUACUAAGGGCAAAAACUCACCUCUUAUGGAAAAUCUCUCCACAAGCUCAAAAAGGAGGUUAGAACCCUUCCAAUCCACUCUAGAGGAAGGUUCUAAUUCAAGGAAUCAAGCCUCAAAUGCCCUAAAACGAAAAUACCCAAAUAAACCCUAAAUUUUCAUUUCCAGGGUUUGAUCUCUCAAAAACCUCAAAUCAAGGAUCAAAGGGAGAAAUCGAGUCUCUAACCUCUCAAGAAGCUCCAAACUUAGCUCCAAUCCAAGCGAUGUUGAAGAUCUCCGCAGCCACUAGCUCCUCUCCAAGCUCUAAGCCAUCAACAAUGGUGGAGAGCCACCAUGAUGCAAUAGAGGAGAGAAAACCCAAUAAAAAUCAAGCAAAAGGAGUAAAAAUAUAAGGAAAGGGAGAGAGAGCUCCUCCUACCUCAACUCCUGCUGGUCUCAGCACAAAAGAAGCCCUAAGGGGCGUGGGUGCUGUUAUAGAUAAGCUACAAUCGCGAAAAACCCCCUGCAGUUCAAACUGCACGAAAUCUGCCUUCUUAUACCGGUACACGGGCUCUUGUACCGGUACAAGGCCCACGAAAAUGCAAACCCGAGGCUCGGGUCACGGGGUCUCCGGCUCUGUACCGGUACAAGCCCGAUGGCUGUACCGGUACAACCAUCAAUCUUUGUAUCGGUACAAGACCAACCUUAUUCCGGUACAAGCUCUGCUGCAGGCUAACCCGAGAGCUGUCCAAUGAAUCCAAUUUUUGGAUUUUGGUACCAAGCUUAAAAAUACAAUUCUCGGGACUCGAACCAUAGGUCGUAACACUGUCAACGACCCACCAGAAAGUCUGGAAAAACUCGACACACAAAUCAAACACUCGAACCUCGCAAUUUGCAAAGGUUCCGUGUGUUACAUAAUAUAUAAAUGAUAAAACUUAAUAAAAUAAAAAAUAUAUCAAAUUUAAUUAAUUUAUAUAAUAUAAUAAAUUUUAAGUAUAAAUAUAUUGUCAUAAAAAUAAUAUUUAUAUUAAUAUAUGUAUUAUUUAUUAAAUUUGAGCAUUUAUUUAAUUUAUUUGAAAUUAAUUAAAAUAAAGUAUAAAAAAAAUAAAAUGGCAUAAAAAGAAAAAAAGAGACAAAAAAAAAAGUUCCGGCUUGUUCUCCAUUUCAUGGAGAACAAUCUUAAUGGGUUGUUCCCGGAACAACCCGUUAAGCCCGUAACAAUCCGUUAAGCCCGUAACAAUCGGAUUGUUCCAUUUUGUAUUGCGUUUGGAAGGACAAUGAGGAAUAUUUCGCUUUGUUCUGGAAUAUAUUUCCAACCAAACGCUGCCCUAGAGAAGAGGGUAGAAGGGACGGUAGCGGUACAGAAGCGAGUGCAUGUCGUCGGGGACGUCAUUGCUGAAGGCGGCCGGCGCAAACCCUGUGCUGACUGCUGAAUUGCCACUCCUAAUAUACAGUAUAUAAGUGUAAUUAAACCUUUUUUAAAUAAAAGCUCGAAGGGUAUAUACGUAAAAACAGCUAAAAUAUAGGGGUAUUUAUUUAUUUUUUUUAUUUAUAGCUAUGAAAAUAAAAUACUCAACGCAACAGCCAAUUACGGGGUUCUAAAAUUCGUCAUCCCUUCACAACCCCCUCUCUCUCUCUCUCUCUCUCUCUCUCUCUCUCUCUCCUCUUUCUCUUUCUCUCUCUCUCCUCGUUCUCGCUCUCUCACCCCUCUCCUCUCUCUUCAAUCGGAGGGCGAAAACGAUCGAUUUGAGCUCCCAAAUCCUUCAUCUUCGUAGAGGCGUCGAUCCCUCCGAGCCCCUCGAUCUCAGGUACCUCCUCACCUCGUCAAUCGCCAACUUCUAGGGUUUCUUAGAGGAGAUUCACCACUUGUAACCCUAAAUAAGCUGAUUUCCUAGCAAUCCGAGCUCUUAGAUCUUGCUUCGUGGCUCAGAUGCGUUGUUGUUGAUGUUUUCUCUGCGUGAUCUGUGUUUCCUCGCAGUUACUGAUGUUAGGGUGCCGUUUAUGCUGUUUUAUGAUGAUAUAUUGGUGUAAUGUGUGAGCAGGGACUGUACAGUUUGGAAACAAAGAGGAUGGUUUUUUGAUUGGCCCUUCUGAGUUGGUUUCUGUAGAUUUGCUACCGAAGGUGUCGCCGUGUCGGUUUGUGGUAGUGUUAGAUGUAUUAGUUUAGAAAGUUGCUUAUUUGGUUAGAAACUUAAGCUACUUGGAGAGUAGUAGGAUUCAGUAAGGCGAGGAGCCGAUAGCCUUUUGUCGUUACUUUGUUAGUACUUCGUGGUUUUGUCGGUGGGGAUGAGCUUGGAGAAUGAGGACCGCUCGCUACUGGAAUCUUUUUACGAAACUAAAUCUGAAUCCAAAAGGUAAGAACCUUUUCUAGAAAUUUCAUUUGGUUUGUUAUGCCACACUGGUUUUGUUUUGAGCAAAGCUUACCUUAAUUUGCAUUGUUGUAUAUGUCUCAGGAAGUCGAAACUAUCGUACACAAGAGAGUUCCUUCUGUCUUUCAGUGACCUGGAUGUUUGCAAGAAGUUGCCCAAAGGUUUUGAUGCUUCAAUUCUGAGGUAGUGUUUCUUUUACUCGGCGUAAGCUCUUUUGCUUGGCUGGUAAAUGAAAUCCUACAUUAGACAUUAAAGGGUAGGCAUUCACGUCAUUUUCUAUCUGGAAACAGUGAAUUUGAAGAUGCUUCUGGUAGUUUGCUUGAACGGCAAAGAGGUUCCGGAGGUUAUUCUCGGGGAAGUUCGGCGAGGUGGGAUACUCGCUCAUCUGGAUCAAGCGAUAAAGAUGGAGAUUUGCAGCUUGAACGCGAAUGUUUUAUGCCAGGUCCACCAUAAUUUUAAAUUACUUCCUGAUUUUGGAGCUGUUGGUUGAUUUCCUUGCAUGCCCUGUUGUAUUUUCUUGCUUGGACUAAUCUUUUUGUGGUCUCCUAUUCCUUUCUUUCUCUUCUUUAUCAUUUAGAUGGUAUAUACAAGAACUUGUCACCGUAUGUAUGCAGUCCAGUUUUUUCUUUAGGGAAACCUGUUUAUUGAUGAUUAUAUUGCUUCAUAAAAUAUUGACACAAAUGAUUGACAAAGUUCCAUGUAGUUUUGCAAAAUAAUUCCACUUAACUGAAAGUCAAACUGUAGUAUACAUCCUUGCAUGUACUCUCUUCUUUUCUGUCAGUCAUGUACUGUCAGGGCAUUCCCUUUUUGUAAACUUGUGAAAAUAUAUUUCUUUUAGAUUGAGUUAACAUUUAGCCUUAGUUUGGCUUGAACUUUCACUAGUGAAGUGAAGGCUGAAUUUUAUGAGUGAAGGCCAAAUUUAGGAAUCCCUCCAAUACUUCCUUCUUACUGUAGCAUAAACCACUAGUUGACUUGGACAUGUUAUGGUGGAAUAGGGACUUAUCUAGCAUUAUAAUAUCUAGCUUCUAAGUUUGUGGUUUCCAACACUAUCUCCACUUAUACUGAUUACUGGAAUAUGUUUUUUCCCCCUUCCAUCUGCCAUUUAUGUAUUCUAUCAUAUUCUCGCACACAACCUAAAACGGUUAGCAAAUGUCACAGUUACACAUCAAACUCGCCACUAUUUUGCUUACUCAUUGAAAUUUUAUUAAUCACAGGCCAGUCGUGAGGACCUCUUCUCCAUCCUUGAACCAAUCAAUCUCAUGUGCUUGUUCUAGUUUCUUAACUUUCCAUUUUUAAAUUAUGCCAAUAUCUUGUAAGACAGUUUUCCUUGCUAUUGUUGUUAAUGAUUGGCAUAGCUGAGAACAAAUGAUUUGAAUUAUAGCCGACUAUCAUUUUGAUGCCUUUUGAGACAACAUGACCCUGUGAAUCGCAAGGAAAAGCUUGUGCACUUUCUAGGACACGUCCUGUAACGGAAUUUACCUUUUCUUACUAUUCCAUCAGUCGUUUUUCUUUAUGUUCUCAUUCUCAUACUCUUCUUCAUCUCUUCCUUGUUUUAUUCAGUUUGUUGUGUUAACUUAAAAGAGCAACAGUUAGUAGUUUGGACUUACGGUACUUCUUCUUCCGUGAUCAAACUGCAACUGCGACUGCUAGAAUUUGUUAUUUUGUGCUGUGCAGAUAAGCGUUUAGUGAACCAAUCUAGACGCUCCUGGCAACACACCGAGCAUGAUGGGCUUUUGGGAAGUGGUGCUUUUCCACGGCCGUCGAGUUAUGCAGGACCUUCUGCACCGAAGGCUCGAGGGGGUGGACAAUAUCAACUAAAUAGGAGUACCGAACCUUAUCAGCCCCCACGGCCUUAUAAGGUUUUUAUGCAUUUUUUUAUAGAAAUCUAAUCUUUGCCGGAUUUAAAUAUAUUUUCCAUUCUGUAAUUUGAUUUCUCCUUUCUAUUUCUUGAUUUGAUAUUCUAAGUUACUUUUUUCUGACUAUUAUUUUGGUGCCAUAUAAUUGAACUUUAUCCUGUUGGCAUUUGGAAAAUCAGCUUGUUAAUUGUUUGCAAAAUUUUCGACUGAUAUUUCUUUGUAAAUGAACAUUAGGCUGUACCUUUUGCACGGAAAGACUAUAAUGAUGCACGUAAUGAUGAAACAUUUGGCUCUUCUGAAUGUUCAAGCCAGGAAAGGGCAGAAGAAGAGAAAAAAAGAAGAGGUUAGUACUGUUAAUAUCUCUGUGUUUGACAUUUUUGCUUAUCCGUACAUUCUUUAUCCUCUUGCUCCAUGUUCUUGCAUGCAGAAUCAUUUGAGUUGAUGAGGAAAGAGCAGAAGCUGACACUACAGGAGAAGCACAAACAGAUUACCGAUAAUUAUAAAGAAAACCAUGAUGAUGAUAUGAUUGCUUUGCUACAGAAUUCUGCUGACAAAAACAGCAUUACCAAUAGAAGUAAAAAACAGGAUGAUGACAGCAUGACGUCAUCUUCUGUUUCUAAAAAUGAUAGUUCAAAGCCAUCUUCUGUUGGAUCUGCUCCUCCGUCUAGGCCACUUGUGCCACCUGGGUUUGCAAAUGCAGUAGGAGAGAAGAAGAUACACAAACAGUCUUCAAGCACCUUCGCGGAACCACAGGUAGCAUAGCUCUUGACAUACUUAGUGUGGAAUUUCUAAUGCUUGUAACAAAAACGUAGUGCACUUUCUAGAAAAAUCUAAUUGACAAUGAGUUCAUAUGAGGCUACAAAGAACUAGUUUAUGUUCCUCUAAUACUAAUGCUUAGGUUAUUUGCAGUAAUUUUGUCUGAAAUAGCAACUUAUUUUUUCUUGCUUUAAUUUUAUAGAUCUGCUUUUCUGAUCGCUUCUGAAAAUAUUGUAACUUCAUCAGUUCCUGCCUUUGAUAGUCUGACGUGCUCACCAUUGAGUGAUAAAUUUGGUUUUUGUCCUAGCAUUUUCAUGUUAAACAUCUAAUUGCUUUGUUUAUUUGUGAAAAUGAAAAGUAAUUUUUCUUCAGUUUUCAGUGUUUGAGGAAAUUUUGAAUUUUCAACUCUACGACUGGCCUUUUUGGUACAAACUGUUUUGUUUGGGUGAUAGAAAAUUUUUUGAGAUAUUUGUUUCGUGUAUUGCAACAGCAGAAAGUAGGGAUUCAAUGAACCUUACGAGAGUAGAUGACUUUGUGUUUUGCAGACUACAUUGUUGAGGAUGUAGUUGAAGCUAUUAACUUGAUAAGCUGUAUACUUAGAUGUUAGUACGUUUAAUUGUCUGCUAUUGUUUAUCUGACAUCAAUGGACUGUUGUGGUACCUUAGUAUUCUGAUUUCAUUUUUUUAAGCACUUCUUUUUCUUACCCCUUUUUCUUGUCCUAGUGCUAACAAUACAUAUUAUGCAUCUGUUCAACAGCUGUUAAACUCAUCUAAAAAAAAAAGAAAGCUCUUAUGUAAAUUUGUUAACAUAAAACUUGUCAACCUGAAAGCACUCGUUUCGGACAAUUUUUCUCCAAAUAAGUCAUAACUAAGUUAGGGAAGAGCUUUUAGAAAAUGAAUUUCUGUUUAGCGAGAAUAUGAUUUAAGUUUAAUUGACUCAAACAAGUAUUAUUUUGUGUUUUCAGGCUAGAAAUGAGGCUCCCGAGGAAAACCUUCCUCUGGACAAAACAGGCAUUGGUCAACAAAAGGAAAAUCAAUCAGCUUCCAGCACUGAUGUUCGCAGAAGUGAAGCCAAGAGCACUUCUCACAUAGCGAAUGAAGUAGGAAAGCUCGGCAGUUCAUUCUCGUCAUCUAGAGAAUUUAACUCAAUUGAAACUAUAGCAUAUAGGACUUCAAGUGUUGAGAAAGUUAAUGAACUUCGAGAAGAUGAUAUAUUGGAUGAUUAUGCAAGCAAAAAGGAGGCGAGCUCUAAAAUAUUGAGCUCUGCUACUCAGGACAGAUCUACUUCGAUUCUGGACAAAUUGUUUGGCAGUUCCUCGUCAAAGAGUAGCGUCAAUUCUCCAACUUAUGUUGAGGUAUUGCACUUCCUGACAGACUACACCAUAAUCUCAUAAUCUUGCCUUUUGCCAAACUGAUUGAUAGAGAUUGCAAAUGGGCUCUUUUUGCAUAUUAGCAUCAUUUUCACUUCUCUAUAAGGCAAGUGGUCUAGUUAACAAUUGCUCGUAAGCUUCUUUACUCUUUUCCUUGCUUGCGUAUAUGAUAGUUUCUAGACUUGGUUUACGCAAAAAUUUUUUGUUCGACGGAUGAUCGAUCCAAUCUGUGUCUUCUGCCAUAGCUACAUGCUUUAAAAUGGCCAAUGUCACUAACAAAAAUUUAUUGAAAUUUCGAAGUUCUCUAAUAUAUUUUUGUUUGAUAUAUGGCUUCAAAAGCAACUGCUAAUUUCCUCCCUUUAACUUAAUGUUAUUGCAUGCGUAUUACUUCAUAUGGAAAACUUUUUGUGAAAGACAUUUUAAUCCAUGUUAUCGUCUGCAAAAAUUUAAUAAUUCAAACCAUAAAGGGUGUAUGGAAUUGUUCUCCUCCUUUUUGCAUCAGUUACAUUUGCUGUUUUAAAGUGCAAGAUGUUCCUUUGCUGUAGUUUCAGAAUCUUUUCCUACCAGUUUAAUUACCUCGGAUAAAUCAACUUCCAUCUUUUCUCUUUUUUUUUCCUCUUAAUUGUGGAAUGGUUGAGUUAUUGAAUUUUUCAGUGUCACUCCCAUGCAAGUCUUGGGGUGUUAAAACUUUAGGUUCAUCGCCCUAUGAGAUUAUGAAAUAAGGGAUACAUGAUGACUUUGAUUGCUCAUUGCUCGAUGGUACGUGUAAGUGAUCACUCUUUUUUCUUUUUUAUGUGCAGAAUUUGUAUCCUAAAGUUGAUGAGGAUACAGUGCCUCUUGUUCUACCCGAAUCAUCAAAAUUUGCUCGUUGGUUCCCCGAGGAAGGUAAUCCUAAUAUUUUUACGUAAUAAUAGUCUACCACUGUUCAUUUUUGCUAGGUUAUACCUAAUGUUUUUCCUUUUUCUUUCCCUUUUCAUAGAAUUAAAUCCCGUAGAAGACUUUUCAUCGAAGGACUUGCUCUCUUUGAUUGUUGAUAGUGAAAAAGCUGGUCAAGUGUCCUCUGCAUCUAAUGCUAAAACUCCCAAACACAUAUCGCUGAGCUCACAUUUUGAGAAUUUUCUGCCCGCUUCUGUCUCUACUGCUGUGAUCUCAGAAAAGCACCCCCAAAGUGAAAACUCUAAUUCAAGUCCAGUACUUACAUGUGAAGAUCUUGAGCAGCUCAUGUUGGCGGAAGCUAGCAAAAGCACUUCCAACGUACAGCUUCCUGUAGAAGCACAUCGGUCUGUAGUUGAUGAUCAAUCUAAGGAGCAGAAACCCAAUGUAAAUAAUCAUGCAUCGCAACAUCUCCUCUCUUUACUACAUAAAGGACCAAAGCAAGAGACACCGUCAUCUCCUGGCCUACAUGUUGCUGCAAAUAGUAACCCUGAGAAGGUUAAUAGUUCGGAGAAGAGCUUAACACUUGAAGCAUUAUUUGGUGCGCAGUUUAUGAACGCCCUCCAGUCAGUGGAAGCUCCUGUUUCUGUUCGUAUUGCUUCAGCCAACCACCUUCAAGAUCAAGACUAUGUAAAUUCUCAAGUCCAACAUUUGAACCUUGGUGGUGCUGGUUUUGAUGAGAGGGGUCCAGAGAUUCGCCUUCCAGAAGAAGACAGUUUGCUUGCCAUGAAUGAUCCUCUGGAUUCUCUAAACCCUAAUCUCUUUCCCUUUGCAAAGCCUAGUAAAUCUAUUGAGGAACUUAAUGAAAAGUUAGCUAAUCUGAUGCCAAGAGAUAUGGAACGUGUUCAAACACGUGGCCAAAUCGACAGUGAAAUUCGCUAUCAUCAUCAUUUACAGGACAGGCAAUUUUCACAGUUACCCCAUCCUAUGAAUCAGACUAGGCCGAACUUCCCACCGUUGGAUCAUCUCGAGGCCAUCCAUCAUGAUCCUCACCAUCCAUUUCCUGCAAAUAUUAUUCCUCAUCACGGUGGCCCUUGGAUAGAUCCUGCUGCUGCCGCCCAUCAUCUUAUGCUACAGCAGAUGCCCCCUCAAGGAAAUUUCCCUCCGCCGCAGAACUAUCCACUUCAAGGGAUGCCUAGAGGUAUACAUGUAUCCCACCCGAUCCAUCAGAUGCCUGGUUUUGUACCUGAGAUGAACAAUGUACAUAAUUUUCCUCCGCACCAUCGGCAGCCUGAUUAUGGUGGACUUGGAAUGGCAAUGCCGGGUAAAUUUUCAGCAACCUUUUUGGUUGAUAUCAGUUUCUUGUGCGUUGUUGCUUCGUAAAAAGGAGAGUAGAAAAGAGUAAAAGAGUAGAAGAUAUGCUGAUCAAUUGUCCAAUCUUUGAAAGGGCUUUAGUUUUAUUUAUAGCCUUAUAGGUAAAAAUGUAUGGAGACCCCUUCAACAACAUAUUGUUUUCGACAUCGACCCCUCCUGACUUUUUUCUCUGGUUGACACCCCAUCAACUUUUGCUUCUUUUGAUUUGAGCUAUUCCAGAAUUGCAUUAAGAUUAAUGACAUUGGUAACUAUCUGCUGUCAACUGUUACAAACCUGCAGUUCCAUCAGCUGAGAAGCAACCAAUGCCGUUAGAUUUGACUGAAUCGCCAUCAAAUUUAAUGAAAUCUUCAAUGUGACUAAAGAAAAUAACUGGAAUCAAAACAAAUAAAACUUGAUCGGUGUCAAUCGGAAAAAUGAAAAAGUUUGGGGUUUUGUUCCAAAGUGGCCUAUGUUUGAGGAGGUUCUCCGGACGUCUUUACCUUGCUCAUUCUGGAGUAUCUCAUAUAUUUUGUCUUCCGUUGUUCUUCGUUGAAAGAUUGGUGGAGAUUCCAGAAUCCGAGUUUUCGUUUGGUGAUAAGUGUAUAAAGUGUGAAAGCAUAGUUACUGGAACUUGGCUUUGGACCACCGCAGGCAGCAGUUCAGUCCUGAGAAGUGGACUGUUUUUGGUUGUUUCAGAUACUUGACUUCAACACCUUCACUUACACUUCAAUUUGAAAGCAGUCAUGCGUAUUCACGCUGUUCAUUUUGAACUUCAGAAUAGACAAAUAAUUUAAUCCGCCAGUUUGCUAUGGUUUUUUAUUUAUUUAAUGAUUCUUUUCUAUUUUGUUAGAAUUUCCCUCCAAAAGUUCGUUUCAGUUAAUUUAAUUUUAUUUUCUCCUGCUGUAUAUAGGACUAGCUACUGGGGAAGGUGGAAGCAGUCGCCCUGAAGCGCUGGAGAGGCUGAUUCAAAUGGAGUUAAGAGCUAAAUCAUCAAAGGAAGCUCACUCUGCGUUAGCCGGCCAUGUUCCCAACAUCUAUGGUCCUGAGCUCGGCAUGAACUUCCAGUACAGAUAAUGUAGAAAGAGCUGCGUAACGCAAAAGCACUUGUGUAAAGAUCUCAGAACCCUUCUUUUGCUUCCGGGGGUAGUGGCAUUGCAUCUACUGUUUGUCGUUGCGCUGAUACAAAUUGCAAAUGUAGGAUAUCAUUUCGAAGAGCUUCUUGAUGAGUUCUGUGUUACUUCUCAUCUCAUCUCCUUUCUCCGAACAUCGCAAAGAUCCCGUGGCCGAAGGCGGAGAAGGAGCAAAUAGAAAAAUGAAUACACAGCUUUACUAAACUAAAAGAAAAUUGUGGACUGAAGCUGUGCGUAAUCGCCGCGCGUAGAAAAGACCUCUAGUUGUUGCUAGUGUUGGUGAUAGGUUGAGGUUAAACAUUUUGAGUGGUUUUCUUCAGCAGGGCUUUUCGAAGAAGCUCAUGAAAAGUUGUAUUGGUGGGGAUUUUAUGAUACUUGUAGUAGUGUUGUGUACAAAUGAUGUCCGGGAGAAUCAGUUGCUGAUUUAGUCAUUGCUUUUCGUUUCAUAAUUUGUUUUUUGUUUUCAUGUUAAAGUUUUGCAUAACCUACUUGUCUUGGUUAGUGUUUAUAUU
rnacentral:lncRNA from 1 species